rnacentral:lncRNA from 1 species
AAGUCGUCUUACCGCUAGUACGCCUCAUUCACGAAGCCGGUCUAUAAGGUGGGUAUAAGGUUGUUGCCUAUAAAAUGGCAACUUAAUGGGUGUCCACUCUCACCCACCGCUUGCUUGACUGGUGGAGGGUCGUUAGUCGAACGGGUAAGACAAGGACUUAUAAAUUCUCAUUAAAAGUAUAAUGAUUAUUAUAAAGUAACUAAAUGUUUUAUAAAUUCCCAAUCUUAGUUACUUUAGGAAAAAUGUGAAUAAGGUGCUAAUCCAUGAAAUUACACUUUGCACCUUGCUAAGUCGUUGGUGGAGCGUGUGUGGUUUACCGGCACCCUAAAUUGGACUUAACAAGGAAGGCAAAGGGAGACUUAAGUUUUUCAUGAGGUUGGAAGGAGCGCAUGUGGUUUACCGGCACUACGAUUAAGUGAACAACAUUAAGGGUACCAAGUAAUUUGCAUGGUUACUUCACACCUUGUUUUGUGAUCCUCGAUAUCCCAGUCACAAAACAUCAAGGGCACUGUAACAUCCGAAAUUUCAGGUAUUAUAUUUAUUCAUUUUAUUUUGAGUUUUGUGGAAGAACUCGGCGAGUUGGUGCGUAGACUCGCCGAGUAGAGAUGCGAUUUCUCAUCCGGAUUAAUGACCGGACUCGACGAGUCGCAUUGGUGGACUCGGCGAGUCCGCGCUGUUUAAUGAACCCCUAAUUUCUCGGGUUUGGGGCCUAUUUAAAGGGCCUUAUGGCCGUCAUUUGUGCUCACCAGUCCCCAGAGCGAAAUCCUAGUGAGCUUGACCAUUUGGAGUGAGAGAAGUAGACAUUAUUGACCUUGGAGGUGUUAUCUAGCAAGGGAAAGGAAGCUAUAGCCAAGAGGAAGCAAGAGGAUUAACUUCCUGAAGAGUUGAGGUCCAGAACAUCACGUUUGAGGUACUAUUUUUGAACCCUUUUCUGUUGAGGUGAUGUUCAUGUUGAUUUAAGGCUUAUUGAGCCCUUUUAUGGCUAGAUCUAGUGCUCCCUUGGUCCCUUAAGCGAGUUAGGUUCUGGAUCUGGACCCUUGGAGGUCCAGAGUGUCCCUUUGUCCAAGCUUUUUAUGAAUCCAUGGAGGUUUUGGUUUGGGAUCUUUGUGCUUGACGUUAAAACACCAUUUAUCAGUCAUUAGGUGUGAUAUGAGCACCAAGACAUGAACUUUACGUGAUAAAUAAGCUUGGAAGGACUGGAUAUAUGAGUUAGUAGAGUAGAUCUGACCUCAGAAGGUCGUUUAGGGUUGUGCAUGGAAUGCACUCGCCGAGUCCAUUCCCCAGACUCGNAAGUUGACCGGUGUUGACUUGAUAGGGUUAGUCAACCCUAGUUGGGAAAGUGUUAAUUAGAGAUGUAUUUGUGUUAUAGGAGGCCUAUAGCUCAGGAGAUUGAGCACUAGUGAUUUCGGGGAUUUACGAGUUACCGAGAUACGCGAGGUGAGUCUUCUCACUAUACUUUACCUUGAGUAGGUAACCAGAGUUAUGUGAUAGAGUAUUUGUAUGCUAUAUGUUAUGUGUUGUACUGCAUUAUUUCUAUGUGAUUUAUGAUGUGCAUGUUUAUAGAGUUAGAACCGGAAGGUUCACAGAGUUAGAACCAGAGGGUUCAUAGAGUAGGGUCCACGGACCCACAGAGUUAUAGCCUCGAGUGGGUAAUAUGUGUUAUGUGUGGUAUUUUGGGGAACUCACUAAGCUUUGUGCUUACAGUGUUUGGUGUUAUUUGUUUCAGGUACUAGUGAGGAUCGCGGGAAGGUGCCAGCCUGAUCAGUACACACACAAGAUUUUUAUGUCAUGAGAUCUUGGGAUUUUUAUAUGCUAUGAAUUCGAGUUUCAAACAAUGAAGUUUUUAUGAAUAAUGAAUGAAUUGUGUUUUGUAUAAAAUGCGAAAAAUUGUUUUGAAAUAUACGCUGUUACAAGUUGGUAUCAGAGCCUUGGUUUGAGGGAUUCGAGUACACCUUCGGGCGUAUUUGAACUCAAAUUAAGGAUUUGAGAAAUAUUUUCAAAAAGAGUAAAAGAUUUCUGGAAAAUGCAAAGCAGAGUCGUGUGUACGAUCAGUCAACGCCCGAACGGUGAUUUCCCAAGUACCCUUAUAUUAUAUGUUAUGAUAUUGAUAUGAUGUAUUCUCAUGCUAGAGUGGGCUAGGUACUCCUAUUAGGACUAGCGUGGCCUGAUUUGUGAUGCCUUAGCCUAGGGAGAGGUGAGCUGCUAUGAGAUGCUUGAGAGUGAGUAGGUAGCAGCGAGGAACUUAUGAGUGGUCUACUNGUGUGUACGAUCAGUCCGCGCCCGAACAGUGAUUUCCCAAGAUACCCUUAUAUUAUAUGCUAUGAUAUUGAUAUGAUGUAUUCUCAUGCUAGAGUGGGCUAGGUACUCCUAUUAGGACUAGCGUGGCCUGAUUUGUGAUGCCUUAGCCUAGGGAGAGGUGAGCUGCUAUGAGAUGCUUGAGAGUGAGUAGGUAGCAGCGAGGAACUUAUGAGAGAUCUGUUAGAGAGUGGAUUAUGCGUAAUAGAGUACUUGGGACUUGGGAUCCGAAGGGGAGGACUUGGGGUGUAUACUGAUACGGUGCGGAUAGUAGUAUUGGGCCCGUACUACUGAAAACACCGGGGUGAUGUACAGUCUAAGUAAGAAUCUUCGGGAUGCCUGGGAUCAAGGAGGGAUGAGUUAUCGAGUGUGAGUAUGCUCGAAUGGGUUCUAAUUUAUCGUAUGUUGUAUUUCAGAGGUAGAUCAUGGUGAGGACACGUCUUAUGCCAAAGAGUAGUGGGGCUAGUGAUGAGGAGAUCCGCCGGAUCAUCCAUGAGGAGGUGGCUGCGGCCAUCAGGGCAGAGAUACCAGAGAUGUUCGGGUCUAUUAAGACCACGUUGCUUGAGACUUCUGACGAGCGUUAUGCUGCUCUUUNNNNNNNNNNNNNNNNNNNNNNNNNNNNNNNNNNNNNNNNNNNNNNNNNNNNNNNNNNNNNNNNNNNNNNNNNNNNNNNNNNNNNNNNNNNNNNNNNNNNNNNNNNNNNNNNNNNNNNNNNNNNNNNNNNNNNNNNNNNNNNNNNNNNNNNNNNNNNNNNNNNNNNNNNNNNNNNNNNNNNNNNNNNNNNNNNNNNNNNNNNNNNNNNNNNNNNNNNNNNNNNNNNNNNNNNNNNNNNGGCGCACUAUACACCUGCUGAGCUUGCGGCAGUGACCUGGGAGAGGUUCACUGCCAUGUUCCGAGAUGAGUAUGUUCCCCAGGUGGAGAGGGAGCGUUUGGCCCAGGAGUUUCUGACCCUCAAGCAGGGUACUGAGUAUGUUACGGUGAUUACCAGGAUGUUGCAUGAGAGUGCGAUGUUCUGCCCUGAGCACGUGUCUACUGAGCAGGCACGUAUGAGCUGAUAUUUGAGUAUUCUAAGGAGGGACAUACGUGAGUUCGUGGUGAACUCGACGUACCAGACAUUUGAUGAGCUUCAGGAAAAGGCCCGGAAGAGGGAGAUAGAGCUGGAGACUCAGGCUAGGGAGGAGGCUGAGUCUCAGGGGAGGGAUCGGCGACCGGUGCAGUCUCAGNNNNNNNNNNNNNNNNNNNNNNNNNNNNNNNNNNNNNNNNNNNNNNNNNNNNNNNNNNNNNNNNNNNNNNNNNNNNNNNNNNNNNNNNNNNNNNNNNNNNNNNNNNNNNNNNNNNNNNNNNNNNNNNNNNNNNNNNNNNNNNNNNNNNNNNNNNNNNNNNNNNNNNNNNNNNNNNNNNNNNNNNNNNNNNNNNNNNNNNNNNNNNNNNNNNNNNNNNNNNNNNNNNNNNNNNNNNNNNNNNNNNNNNNNNNNNNNNNNNNNNNNNNNNNNNNNNNNNNNNNNNNNNNNNNNNNNNNNNNNNNNNNNNNNNNNNNNNNNNNNNNNNNNNNNNNNNNNNNNNNNNNNNNNNNNNNNNNNNNNNNNNNNNNNNNNNNNNNNNNNNNNNNNNNNNNNNNNNNNNNNNNNNNNNNNNNNNNNNNNNNNNNNNNNNNNNNNNNNNNNNNNNNNNNNNNNNNNNNNNNNNNNNNNNNNNNNNNNNNNNNNNNNNNNNNNNNNNNNNNNNNNNNNNNNNNNNNNNNNNNNNNNNNNNNNNNNNNNNNNNNNNNNNNNNNNNNNNNNNNNNNNNNNNNNNNNNNNNNNNNNNNNNNNNNNNNNNNNNNNNNNNNNNNNNNNNNNNNNNNNNNNNNNNNNNNNNNCAGCUGGUGACCAUACGAGACCCUAGUGGGGGAGUUCUUACGGUGUACGGCGAGGGUACACGUUCUGGGUCAGCAUUUUGUUCGGCCGCUAAGGUGAGGCAGUGUCUACAGAAGGGCUGUAAGGGCUUCGUGGCGUAUGUGAUGGAUACACGGGUUGAUUCAGAGAGGCCGAGGUCAUUUGAGGAGGUUCCGAUAUUGCGUGAGUUCUCGGAUGUAUUUCCAGAGGAGUUGUCGGGUGUGCCUCCCGUGAGGCAUCUGGAGUUCAAUAUCGAUUUGGUUCCGGGGGUUGUGCCUAUCGCCAAGGUGCCUUAUCGCCUUGCACCUCUAGAGAUGCAAGAGUUAUCCUCGCAGCUUCAGGAGCUGCUGGGAAAGGGAUUUAUUCGGCCGAGAAGCUCGCCGUGGGGAGCGCCUAUCCUUUUUGUCAAGAAGAAGGAUGGUUCACACCGGAUGUGCAUUGAUUACCGGGAGUUGAACAAGCUGACGGUCAAGAACCAUUACCCGUUGUCGAGGAUCGAUGACUUGUUCGAUCAGUUGAAGGGAGCAUCUUAGUUCUCCAAGAUCGAUUUGAGGUUUGGAUAUCAUCAGGUGAGGGUGCGAGAUGAGGACAUCUAGAAGACAACGUUCAUGAUGCGUUAUGGGCAUUACGAGUUUGUAGUGAUGCCUUUCGGGCUCACCAAUGCCCCGAUAGUGUUCAUGGAUCUCAUAAACCGAGUGUGCAGGCCGAUGUUGGAUCGGUAGGUGAUUGUAUUCAUCGACGACAUUUUGGUGUAUUCGAGAUCUAGAGAGCAGGAUGAGGAGCAUUUGAGGGAGAUCCUCGGAGUUCUGAGAUUGGAGAGGCUUUAUGCCAAAUUCUCCAAGUGUGAUUUCUGGUUGCAAGAGGUCCAGUUCCUAGGGCAUCUCGUUAACCAUAAAGGGAUAUUGGUUGACCCGACCAAAGUUGAGGCAGUGAUGAGUUGGGAGGUGCCGAGGUCACCCUCCGAGAUCUGGAGUUUCUUAGGGUUGGCAGGUUAUUAUCGGAGAUUUAUCAGGGAUUUCUCUAAGAUCGCAGUGCCACUCACCAGGUUGACCCGGAAGGGUGUCGCUUUUUCAUGGGGCCCCGAGCAGCAGGCCUCCUUUGAGACGCUUCGCCAAAGGUUAUGCGAAGCCCCGGUGUUAGCCCUCCCGGAGGGGAUGGAGGACUUUGUGGUAUACUGUGANNNNNNNNNNNNNNNNNNNNNNNNNNNNNNNNNNNNNNGAGACGCUUCGCCAAAGGUUAUGCGAAGCCCCGGUGUUAGCCCUCCCGGAGGGAAUGGAGGACUUUGUGGUAUACUGUGAUGCGUCGAUCUUGGGGUUGGGAGCGGUGCUGAUGCAGAUAGGGCAUGUGAUAACAUAUGCAUCGAGGCAGCUGAAGCCUCAUGAGACGAGGUAUCCCACCCAUGAUCUAGAGUUGGGGGCAGUGGUGUUCGCCCUCAAAAUUUGGCGUCACUAUCUGUAUGGGGUUCGGUGUACGAUAUACACGGACCAUAAGAGCCUGAUGUAUUUGAUGGAUCAGCCUAACCUGAAUAUGUGACAGAGGAGGUGGUUGGAUGUGGUCAAGGAUUAUGAUUGUGAGAUCCUGUACCAUCUGGGCAAGGCUAAUGUCGUAGCUGAUGCACUGAGUCGCAGAAUGGAGAGCGCUCCAUUAAGAGAUGUAUGUUUGCGAUUGACCGUGAUGGCUCCAGUGUUGGACACCAUUCGUGGAGCACAGGCUGAAGCCAUGAGAUCGGAGAACCAGAAGAGAGAGCGAGUUGUCGGGAUGGUAUCCGAGUUUGUUACCGAUAGUCAGGGGCUUAUGACAUUUUAGGGUUGUAUUUGGGUAACGUUUGAGGGAGGGACGCGUACCAUUUUGAUGGAAGAGGCUCGUCGGUCGAAAUUCUCGAUCCAUCCUAGGGCCACUAAGAUGUAUUUAGACUUGAGGAGAGAGUAUUGGUGGCCCUGUAUGAAGAGGGAUGUUGUGUGGUUUGUUGAGAGGUGGUUAACCUGUCGUAGGGUUAAGGCCGAGCACCAGAGACCGCAUGGUAAGUUGCAGCCAUUGGAGGUUCCCGAAUGCAAGUGGGAACAAAUUUCCAUGGAUUUUAUCACCAAAUUGCCAAGGACUGCUAGGGGAGUCGUUGCAAUUUGGGUGAUUGUGGACAAAUUGACAAAGAGCGCCCACUUCCUUGCUAUCAGUGAGAGGUCUUCCGCAGAGAAAUUAACAGAGAUGUACGUGAGGGAAGUGGUAUCACGGCAUGGAGUGCCGAUCUCGAUUGUCUCAGACCGAGAUGUGCGUUUCACUUCCAGAUUCUGGAAGAAAUUGUUGGAAUAGUGUCUAAGGCUGCAACUAUAUUAGACAAGUAUUUGACCCGGUUGUGCAUGGUCCUUUUGGGUUGCCUUCACCAUAGCAACUUGAUAGGAUGAUUUUUAAGAGAGAGUAAAUAUUAUUAAUAUAUUAUGAGAAUAAUAUAAUGAAUAAUAUAUUUGUUAUUUGAUUAAUAUAAGUCAUAGAAUUAAUUAGAAUUAAUUUGGUGACUUAAAGAGAUUAAUUAAAUAAAGGGGUAUAAACUGUCAAUUGUUUGAUAGUUAAGCUUUAGACUGUAAAUCCAUUUGGAUAUGCUAUGGACGAAUUCUAUAAGAUAUAGGAUAGCUAAAAUCGUCCAAAGGCUUAUCUUAGGAAUGGAUUUGGAUAGCCUUAAGAGAAGAUUAUCUGAUAGGGACUUAUCUGUAAUCCUUAAGGAGUCUACAAGUAUAAAUAGACCCUAUGGCUGAUGGAAUUCGACACUUGACCUAAAGUAAGGAACCUCUGGUCGAAUUCCUCCCCUCUCCUCUCUCCUAAAUCAUUCUUAUUGCUAUUGGUGUUUGUAAGCCAUUAGAGGAGUGACACUUGUGACUCUAGAAGCUCCAAGACCUCAAGAUCAACAAGGAACUCAAAGGUAUGAUUCUAGAUCUGUUUCAAUGUUGUUAUUUAACCUAAUUAGUCAUUAGAAGACUUGGAUUCAAAGCAUGUUUAUUAGAAAGCCUAGAUCCAAGCAUUAGGGUUUUGCAUGCGCACAUAGGAAAGUUCUUAUGGCUAAAACCCAUCAGAAAUUUCACGAGGAGUCGGGUACUAGGCUGCAUUUUAGUACCGCAUAUCAUCCCCAGACUGACGGACAGAGUGAGAGGACGAUUCAGACGCUCGAGGACAUGCUCCGGGAAUGUGUGUUGGACUUCGGGGGGAGUUGGGACACGUAUUGGCCCUUGGCAAAGUUUUCCUACAACAACAGCCAUCAUUCGAGCAUUGGUAUCCCACCCUUUGAGUUGUUGUAUGGGAGGAGGUGUCGAAACCCCAUUUGCUGGGGAAAGGUCGGGCAACGUGUUAUGGGUAGUACGGAGAUUGUGUCGCAGACGACAGAGCAGAUACAACGGGUCAGACAGAGAUUGUUAACCGCUCAGAGUCGUCAGAAGAGUUAUGCGGAUAGGCGCCGAUCCAAGCUCGAGUUUCAGGUCGGUGAUUAUGUUCUCCUGAAGGUAUCUCCUUGGAAAGGAGUGAUUCGAUUCAGGAAGAGGGGCAAGCUAGGGCCCCGGUAUAUUGGGCCGUUCAGAGUGAUCGCGAGGGUGGGCAGGGUAGCGNAUUGUGGUUGGAUCACAACACCUGUAUAAAGAAUGUGGUUGGAUCACAACACCUGUAUGAAAGACUUUGGUUCGAUAACAACACUUGUAUGAAAGAUUAUGGUUGGAUCACUACACUUGUAUGAAAGACUAUGGUUGGAUCACAACAUUUUUUUUUCUUUGUAACUUAAAUGGAAUAACAUGGUUGGAUCUUGGCAAAAAAGUUACGGUUGGGCUGUAGUAUGGGAGUGAUUGCAAGACUAUGGUUAGAUCAUAGCAUUCACAUAGGGUUGGGCCCACUGAUAUGUACGAUACGUCGUAUUUUAGGGAACUCACUAAGUGUAACAUCCGGAAUUUCAGGUAUUAUAUUUAUUCAUUUUAUUUUGAGUUUUGUGGAAGAACUCGACGAGUUGGUGCGUAGACUCGCCGAGUAGAGACGCGAUUUCUCAUCCGGAUUAAUGACCAGACUCGACGAGUCGCAUUGGUGAGCUCGGCGAGUCCACACUUUUUAAUGAAACCCUAAUUUCUCGAGUUUGGGGCCUAUUUAAAGGGCCUUAUGGCCGUCAUUUGUGCUCACCAGUCCCCAGAGCGAAACCCUAGUGAGCUUGAGCGUUUGGAGUGAGAGAAGGAGCCAUUGUUGACCUUGGAGGUGUUAUCUAGCAAGGGAAAGGAAGCUAUAGCCAAGGGGAAACAAGAGGAUCAACUUCCUGAAGAUCUGAGGUCCAGAACAUCACGUUUGAGGUACUAUUUUCGAACCCUUUUCUGUUGAGGUGAUGUUCAUGUUGAUUUAGGGCUUAUUGAGCCCUUUUAUGGCUAGAUCUAGUGCUUCCUUGGUCCCUUAAGCGAGUUAGGUUCUGGAUCUGGACCCUUGGAGGUCCAGAGUGUCCCUUUGUCCAAGCUUUUUAUGAAUCCAUGGAGGUUUUGGUUUGGGAUCUUUGUGCUUGAGGUUAAAACACCAUUUAUGAGUCAUUAGGUGUGUUAUGAGCACCAAGACAUGAACUUUACGUGAUAAAUAAGCUUGGAAGGACUGGAUCUAUGAGUUAGUGGAACAGAUCUGACCUCAGAAGGUCGUUUGGGGUUGUGCAUGGAAUGCACUCGCCGAGUCCAUUGGCAGACUCGACGAGUUGGUGCGGGUUGUUCAGUGAUUUCGAACCAGGGGUUGAGUAACCGAGUUGGGUGAGUGACUCGGUGAGUCGGAAGGGACUCAGAGGAAUCGGGUCCCCGUAGAGACUCGGCGAGUCCACGCCAGACUCGGCGAGUUGAGUUGACCGUUGACCAUUGACCAGAGUUGACCGGUGUUGACUUGAUAGGGUUAGUCAACCUUAGUUGGGAAAGUGUUAAUUAGAGAUGUAUUGUGUUAUAGGAGGACUAUAGCUCGGGAGAUCGAGCACUAGUGAUUUCAGGGAUUUACGAGUUACCGAGAUACGCGAGGUGAGUCUUCUCACUAUACUUUACCUUGAGUAGGUAACCAGAGUUAUGUGAUAGAGUAUUUGUAUGCUAUAUGUUAUGUGUUGUACUAUAUUAUUUCUAUGUGAUUUAUGUUGUGCAUGUUUAUAGAGUUAGAACCGGAAGGUUCACAGAGUUAGAACUAGAGGGUUCACAGAGUAGGGUCCACGGACCCACAGAGUUAUAGCCUCGAGUGGCUAAUAUGUGUUAUGUGUGGUAUUUUGGGGAACUCACUAAGCUUUGUGCUGACAGUGUUUGGUGUUAUUUGUUUCAGGUACUAGUGAGGAUCACGGGAAGGCGCCGGCCUGAUCAAUACACACAUGGGAUUUUUAUGUCAUGAGAUCUUGGGAUUUUUAUAUGCUAUGAAUUUGAGUUUCAAACAAUGAUGUUUUUAUGAAUAAUGAAUGAAUUGUGUUUUGUAUAAAAUGCGAAAAAUUGUUUUGAAAUAUACGGUGUUACAGGCACACUCGAGAUUGAAACAUGCCAUUGAAAAGUUCAAUGAAUCUCAAAGAAUCUAGGAAUUUCUAAAAACCAAAUAAAACCUAAUAAUUAAUAUUUCGUUUUUCAUGGUAGAAAUUAGUGAAUCGUCAUUCACCUACCUUUCAAAUAUGUUUUAACUUGGAUUACGACAUCCCUCUUCUAAGUUAUAAUAUAUUGUGAUUGGAUCCUAACCUUAAUACUACAUUUGGGUGUUUUAUUAAGGACUAUCCCUCUAUCUAAACUAAAACUUUUCCUUCUUUUCAGAUGUCCUCCAAUAAUGCUACUCCUGGCUCAAACCCUACAGGCUCCUUCUCUUUCAUGAACCUUUGUGGGAGACUCAUCUUUGAUGGAUCCAACUUUACUGACUGGAUCAGAAACAUCAGGAUGGUUACUCAUUACGAGAACAAGGAAUAUGUUCUUGACAAGGAGCUCAAGGUGCCUGAGCCAACUGCUACUCCUGAGGAGUUUGCUGAAUAUGUGGCACAUGAAAGAGAUGCUACCAAAGUGGCAUGCAUCAUGAUCGCCACCAUGACAGCUGAGCUCCAAAAGUCCUAUGAGGACUACUAUCCUUUUGAGAUGCACCAGGAUUUGAUGGACCGCUACCAUCAGAGUGCUCAUCAAGAGCGAUAUGAAAUCAUCUCCUCUAUGAUCACAACCCGAAUGAAAGAUGGCGAACCCAUUACAAGCCACAUGCAGAAAAUGCAAUGGUAUGUGGAUCGAUUGAUGAAGUUGAAUGUGAACUUCCCUGAGGAGUUAGCAAUAGAUAUUAUUUUGCACUCCUUACCUUCGUGUUAUGAUCAAUUCCGCAUGACAUACCACAUGAAUAAGAAGGAAGUUACACUUAGCAAACUUCAGGGACUCCUAAAGACCGCUGAAUCAGGUCUUAAAGGUAAGUAGGUUGUGACCACUCCUGCUACUACUCCAAACUCAGCACCUUUCCUGGCAAUCGGGAAAGGUAAAGGGAAGAAGAGAAAGAACCCUUCGAAGGGUACCAAGGGUAAUACACUUGAUGGCUCCUCUUCUAGCAGAACCAAGAAAGGUUUUGUUACACCUUCUUCUGAUCCCAAAGAGGCUGAAUGCUUCUACUGCCACGAAAAGGCGCACUGGAAGCGUAACUGCCCAAUGUACCAGCAAGAUAUGAAGGAUGGGAAAGUUAAACCCAACCAUGCAGGUAUUUACACUAUCUCAUCUAAUAAUUCACUCUAUUCUAACUCUUGGGUCCUUGAUGCCGAUUGCGGUAUUCAUAUUUGUUCUGAAAUGCAAGGAAUAAGAAGAAGUGAGAAUGUGGAGCAUGGAAAGAUAAACUUAAUCAUGGGGAAUAGGAAAGUUUCACCUGUCACCAAGAUUGGAGUUUAUACUUUGUUGCUUAGUAGUGGAUUUACUUUAGAUUUGAAUAAAUGUUGUUAUUCGCCAGAAAUGGCAAGAAAUGUUAUUUCCUUUCAUGCUUUGUAUAAACAAGGUUUUACCUUUUCUUUUGAUAAUGAAACUGGUGGAAUAAAUGCUUUCUUUAAUAAUGUGUUUUAUUUUAAAGCAUUACCUUGUGAUGGUGUGUAUGAAGCUGUGUCUGUUGUAGAUAACUUAGGAAAUAAUGUAUUGUGUAUUGAUUCUUCUAAUAGUAAUAACUUGGAUAAAGCAUCAUUAUGGCAUUGUCGUCUUGGGCAUAUAAGCAAGAAACGCAUAGGCCAACUCCAAAAGGAUGGAGUCUUGGAGUCAUUUGACCUAAGGUCAGAUGAUAGUUGCGAAUCAUGCUUGCUUGGAAAAAUGACAAAGUCACCCUUCACUGGUUCGUGUGAGAGGGGUGAAGGUUUGUUGGAUCUUGUACACACGGAUGUGUGUGGACCCUUCAAACAUGCCACAAGGGAUGCUAAUCGUUAUUAUGUGACUUUUACGGAUGAUUAUAGUAGAUAUGGAUAUGUCUACUUAAUCAAGCAUAAGUCAGAGACUUUCGAAAAGUUUAAGGAAUUUAAACAGGAAGUCGAGAAUCAAUUGGGCAGGAACAUUAAGAUGCUUCGAUCCGAUCGAGGUGGUGAGUAUCUUAGUUCAGAGUUCCUCGACUAUCUUAGGGAAUGUGGGAUUGUCUCACAAUUGACACCUCCCAGGACACCACAGUUGAAUGGUGUAGCUGAGAGGCGUAAUCGAACCUUGUUGGACAUGGUUCGUUCCAUGAUGAGUCGAGCUACGCUACCAAUCUCAUUUUGGGGGUAUGCCUUAGAGACUGCCACCCAUAUCCUUAAUCUGGUCCCUACAAAGAAGGUUGCCAAAACACCUCACGAGAUGUGGACUGGAAAAGUUCCUAGUCUAGCCCACAUCAAAGUUUGGGGUUGCGAGGCUUUCGUGAGACGUGAGACUCAUGACAAGCUCGAACCUCGAAGCGAGAAGUGUAUUUUCAUCGGCUACCCACAAAAAUCCUUUGGUUACCUCUUCUACAGACCUAGUGAGAAUGUGGUCUUUGUAGCAAGGAGGGCUGUCUUUCGAGAGAGAGAGUUUAUAAGCCAAGGAGACAGUGGGAGGCUAAUUGACCUUGAAGAACUUCAAGAGUCAAGUGGUGAAGGAACCUCAAACCCUAGCAGUCAACUUGAGGAGGAACCUCCUGUUGAUCCAAUUAUACCUCCAGUUGUACCUCUGAGGCGUUCCACAAGGGUUAGGAAUGUACCUGAGCAUUACUAUGGUUUCCAUAUUACUGCGGAAGGUGAGACACUUAUUAGUGAUGAGACACUAGUAGGUCUGGAUGAACCUAACAGCUAUGCGGAAGCCAUGGCAGGCCCUGAGGCUGCUAAAUGGAAAGAGGCAAUGGAUAGCGAGAUACAAUCCAUGUAUGACAAUCAAGUUUGGAACUUGGUUGAGAAUGUACCAGGUCGUAAGACUGUAGGGUGCAAAUGGAUCUUCAAGAAGAAGACCGACAUGGAUGGUAAUGUACACACUUAUAAGGCUCGACUGGUAGCAAAGGGCUUCUCUCAAACUCCUGGAGUGGAUUAUGAUGAGACCUUUUCUCCAGUAGCCAAGAUUAAGUCUAUUAGGGUAUUGUUAGCCAUAGCUGCAUUUCAUGACUAUGAAAUAUGGCAAAUGGAUGUCAAAACCGCUUUCCUUAAUGGAAAGUUGGCUGAGGAUGUUUACAUGAAUCAGCCAGAGGGUUUUGUCAGCACAGAGUACCCUAAUAGAGUGUGUAAGCUUGAGAAAUCCAUCUAUGGAUUAAAGCAAGCACCUCGCAGAUGGAAUCUUUGCUUUGAUGAGAAGGUCAAGGAAUUUGGCUUUUCUAGGAGUGAAGAUGAAUCUUGUGUAUAUGUCAAGGCUAGUGGGAGUAUAGUUAGCUUUUUGGUAUUGUAUGUGGAUGACAUACUACUCAUAGGAAACGACAUCCCAACCCUGCAGGAAGUAAAGUCCUGGCUUGGGAAGUGUUUCGCUAUGAAGGACCUUGGUGAAGCUGCCUAUAUUCUAGGGAUAAGAAUCUUGAGAGAUCGGAGUAAAAGACUAAUUGGACUUAGUCAGAGUACCUACUUGGAUAAGGUGCUGAAGAGAUUCAGCAUGCAGGAUUCCAAGAAAGGAGAGUUACCCAUCCAGAGUAACACCAGAUUGAGUAAGACACAAAGCCCUAGCACUGAGGCUGAGAUAGCAGAAAUGAGUCGAACACCUUAUGCUUCGGCUGUAGGAUCGAUCAUGUAUGCUAUGACGUGUACUCGACCCGAUGUAGCUUUUGCCUUGAGCAUGGUUAGCAGGUAUCAGGCGAACCCUGGCAAGGCACACUGGACUGCGGUAAAGAAUAUCCUCAAGUACCUACGGAGGACUAAGGACUGGGUCCUUACCCUCGGUGGGAGUGAUGACUUGAGAGUUGUAGGGUAUAGUGAUGCUAGCUUCCAGACUGAUAGGGAUAAUUUCCGCUCUCAGUCGGGCUGGGUCUUUACCCUAAACGGAGGAGCAAUUUCUUGGAAGAGUUCCAAGCAAGAGACAGUGGCAGAUUCUACUUGUGAAUCAGAGUAUAUUGCAGCUAGCGAAGCAGCAAAGGAGGCGAUAUGGCUGAAGAACUUCAUUGGAGACCUUGGAGUUGUACCAGCUAUUAAAGAGCCAAUGGAAAUUUUCUGUGAUAGUGAAAGUGCUGUUGCCUUAGCCAAGGAACCAAGGGAUCAUGGGAGAUCCAGACACAUCGACAGAAAAUAUCAUUUCAUCAGACAUCGUAUAGAAGAAUGACUUCUCGUGGCAAAGAGGGUAUCAUCGGAUGAGAACCCGGCAGAUCCCCUCACGAAGGGACUGGGUAGGGUUAAGCAUCUCCAGCAUGCUAGGAGCAUAGGGCUGAAGGAUGAUAUUAGUCUUAGUAGUUAGAUAAUUUUGAAAUUUGUAAAAUGUAAUUGACAUUUGAUGAUGAAUAAAAGUUGUAUUUAUUUAUAAGUAAAGUGUUACUACCUUUUGUCAAUCAUUUACUAUUAUUUCUUUUGCAUGUUUUGACUUCCAGAAUAUUUAUGUUGUUUUACAUUUUAUUCAAAUUUUCACAGUCAGUCAUAUGUUGGAAGUAGAUAUGAAGCAAGACUGUCAUGAGUUGGUUGUAGAGGUCUAAGAUGUUGGACAUGGCCUCAACACUCAUGAGUGCUCAUAAGUUCUGAGUAUUGGAUUCAACCCACGCUUGCUGGUAUCACUUCAUGGAAUUUAUCUCGAGUGAUCGCGAGACGGUAAUAUCAUAUAAGUCUUCAAACCUAGAGAUAUGACUUGUUAACUAUGAGUUAGUUAUGCAUUGAACGUGCGAAACCGCAUUGGUAACUCGAUGUUAUAAAACGUGCGUUUGUGUGUAAUUUAACAAGUAGUAGAACAAGCAUAUGAGUCGAAGUUUAUCUGUUCCUUCUUGGAUUAGAAGCUGAUAUCUGGGCCCCUCGAUGAUUUUGUUUUGACCUAUGUACCGGGCCCGGUCAGAACUAAGUUGAUGUGUUCAAUUAAGUUCUUUGUCAAACAAAUCGGAAAUCGGGAAACAAACUGCUGGACAAUAAGCAAGACUAUGUUCCAUGUGUUUGUCCGGCUGAUAUCUAGAACAGAGGAUUAUAUGAUCCCUUAUCUGAAAUGGCGUACCAUCAUCUUCUCAGUUCCGAGAAACCUUGAAAAGAGCUACGAUUGCCGAUCGGUUCCUGAAGUCAUACUUGCAGUUAUAGUUAUUAGACUUAUCCAAGUGGGAGACUGUUGGAUAAGGUGUCUAAGUCCAUAACUAUUUCUGGUAUGUACUUGACCCGACCCGGCAUGGUCCAUUUGGGUUGCAUGGCACCAUGCAAUUGGAUAGACUAAAUGAGAGAAAUAACACUUGUGGUUAUUAAUAUAUUAUAAGUUCUAAUAUAUUAAUAAUAUUAUUUAAUUAUUUUGAUCAAGAAUUAAUUUUAGAAUUAAUUAAGUGAUCAAAAGAUAACUAAUUAAAUAUAUGGGUUGAUUAUGUAAAUCAUCCAUAACUUAUAUAGUGGGCUAAGAGGCUCCAUGGAUAAUCAAGUUGGGUUAAACCCAUUGGAUGCUCCAUGGAGGUUCCAUGGGAGUUACAAACCCAUGGGUCAUGGAAAUGAAGAGUCAUGACACAUUAGGGUUUACAUGGUGUAACCCUAGAUGUGUCAACACUAUAUAAAGGUCAUGUGUUCUUCCAAAAUCGGACUACUAGUGAAACAAGAGGGCUUGGCCGAUUUUAGUGUGUUAUACUUUCUCUCCAAGUUUACUCCAUAGCAUCUGGUGUUGUGUGAAUCAUUUGAGGCAUCACACUUGGGGUGCUAGUCUCACAAGGUUUCAAGGAACAUUUACAACAACAAGGUAUGUAAUUCUAUCUAUUAUUUAAGUUAAAAUUGCUCCCCAUGUAUGCUAGAUAGGAUCAUAGCCUUGGAAAUCAACUUUGCAUGAUAAUUAGACAAACAUAGAUACAAGGUUAUUAGGGUUGCAUGUACACUUAGGAAGUGUUAGAAUGCUCAAAACCCAUCAGGACUAGGGACUGGGUCCUUACCCUUGGUGGGAGUGAUGACUUGAGAGUAGUGGGGUAUAGUGAUGUUGGCUUCUAGACUGAUAGGGAUAAUUUCUGAUCUCAGUCGGCUUGGGUCUUUAACCUAAAUGGAGGAGUGAUUACCUGGAAAAGUUCCAAACUGGAAACAGUGGCUAAUUCAACUUGCGAAUCAGAGUACAUAGCAGAAAGCGAGGCGACAAAGGAGGCUAUAUGGCUAAAGAACUUGAUUAUAGACCUUGGAGUUGUACCGGCUAUUAAGGAGCCUAUGGAGAUUUUCUUUGACAACGAGGGUACUGUUGCCUUAGCGAAGGAACUAAGGGAUCACGGGAGAUCCAGGCACAUUGAUAGAAAAUACCAUUUCAUUAGACAUCAGAUAGAAGAAGGAAUCAUCGUGUUGAAGAGGGUAUCAUCAGAUGAGAACCUAGCAGACCCCCUCACGAAGGGACUGUGUAGGGUUAAGCGUUUGCAGCAUGCGAGGCACAUCAGGCUAAAGGAUGAUAUUAGUUUUACAGAUUAGAUAGCGAUUUUUGAAACUUGUAAAAUGUAAAUUAACAUUUGAUGAUUGAAUAAGAAUUGUUGUUUAUUUAUAAGUAAGGUGUUUCUAUUUUGUGUCAAUUAUUUACUAUUGUUUUAAUUUUGCAUGUUUUGACUUCCAGAAUAACUUCUUUAUUCAUACUCUCCACAGUCCGUCAUAUGUUGGAAGUAGAUAUGAACCAAGACUGUCAUGAAUUUGGAUGGUAGAUGUAUAAGGUUCUAGACAUAGCAAAUGGUUGCUACAACAUUCAUGAGUGAUCAUAAGUUCUGAGUAUUGGAUUCAACUCACGCUCACUUGUAUCACUUCAUGGAAUUUAUUUCGAGUGAUUGUGAGAUGGUAACAUUUUAUAAGUUUUUAAACCUUGAGAUAUGAGUUGUUGACUAUGAUUUGGUUAUACGCUGAUUGUAUGAAAACGCAUUGGUAACUCGAUGUUAUAAAACGUGCCUUUGUGUAUGAUUCAACAAGUAGUAGAACAAGCAUAUAAGUCGAAGUUUAUAUGUUCCUUCUAGUCCUUGGAGUAUUAGAAGCAAUAUCUAGGCCCCUCGAUGAUUUUGUUUUGACCCAUGUACCGGGCCCAGUCAGAACCAAAUUGAUGUGUUCAAUUUAGUUCUAUGUCAAACAAAUCGGAAAUCGGGAAAGAAACUGCUAGACAAUAAGUACAACACUGGUCCAUGUAUUUUUCCGGCUGAUAUCUAGAACAGAGGAUUAUAUGAUCACUUAUCUUAAAUGGCACAUCAUCACCUCGGUUCUGUGAGACUUUGAAAGAGCUACGAUUGCUAGUCGGUUCUUGAAGUCAUAUCUGUAACUAUAGUUAUUAGACUUGUCCAAGUGGGAAACUGUUGGAUAAGGUGUCUAAGUCCAUAACUAUAUUUAGUAUAUACUUGACCCGACUUGGCAUGGUCCAUUUGGGUUGCAUCGACAUCUCAAUUGUUAGAUAGACAAAAUGAGAAAAGGACACUUAUGAUUUGUUAAUAUAUUAUAAGUUCUAAUAUAUUAAUAUGAAAUCCUAUUAUUUAAUUAGUAUUGAUCAAGAAUUAAUUUGGAAUUAAUUUUGUGAUAAAAAAGAGACUAAUUAAAUAUAUGGGGAUUGAUAUGUAAAUCAUUCAUUCUUAUAUGGUGGGCUUAUAGUUCAUGAUUCACUAGAUUAGGUUAGGACCCAUUGGGUGCUCCAUGGAUGCUUCAUGGAGGUUAUAACACAUGGAUCAUGGGGAAAUGAAAAGCCAUGCACAUUAGGAUUUACAUGGUGUAACCCUACAUGCGACACACAAUAUAAAGAGCUCCAUAGCUAGCAAAAUCGGCCACUAAGACAAUACAAGGAGGGCUAGCCGAUUUUGUGAUCAAAGUGUUCUUCUCUCAAGUUAUUCCAAGAGUUGUGGUGUUGUGUGAAAAAUUUGAGGCAUCACACUUGAGGUGCUUGGCUCACAAAGUCUUAAGUAAUCUAAGCAACCACAAAGGUAUGUCAUUCUACUAGUUUUAUAUUACAUGCACCCCAUGCCAGGCUAGUUAGGAUGUAAACCUUGGAAAAUUCUUAUUUGCAUGAAUAUUAGGGAAAACAUAGAUCCAAGGUUUCUAGGGUAGCAUGUACACCAUAGGAGUGUUAGAAUGCUCAAAACCCAUCAAUGGGAACGACCAGAAAGUCCCACUAAGAUUCGAAGCUUUCUGGGAUUAGCUAGAUAUUACCGAAGGUUUAUCCAAUGCUUUUCUUCAAUAACUGCUCCAUUGACAGCUUUGACUCAUAAAGGAGCUACAUAUACAUGGAGUAAGAAACAUGAAAAAGCAUUCGAGAAAUUAAAGAAGUUGUGUGAAGCACCAAUUCUUUCUUUACCUGACGGAGUUGAAGACUUCGCAGUCUAUAGUGAUGCCUCUGGAGUCGGGUUAGGUUGUAUUCUGACCCAAAGAGAUAAAGUGAUAGUGUAUGCAUCUCAAAUAUUGAAAGAGCAUGAAAAUAACUACCCCACUCCUGAUUUGGAGUUAGCAGCGGUAGUAUUCACAUUAAAGAUAUGGAGGCAUUAUCUUUAUGGCACAAAGUGCAAACUCUUCACUGAUCAUAAAAGUCUCCGGUAUCUCUUUGAUCAAAAGGAAUUGAAUAUGAGACAACGACUUUGGCUAGAGUUACUCAAGGAUUACGAUUGCGAGAUACUUUACCACCCUGGCAAAGCAAAUGUUAUAGCUGAUGCUCCAAGUUGAAAAGUAAACCUGGAAAGAAAAAGGCCAAGAGCGUUAAGAAUAGAUGUUGUCUCAACGAUUGUGGAAAGCAUUAAGAAAGCUCUGGAAAAAGCUUUGGAGAAAAAUGACCAAAAGGAAGAACGUUUAGGCAAACGUUGGUAUUUGCUACAAAAAGUCAAGGAUUGAAGGUAUUCCAAGAUAGGAUUUGGUUGCCUAAGAUAGAAGAAAUAAGAGAUCUUUUGAUGGAAUAAGCUCACAAGACCAUGUACUUGAUUCAUCCCGACAAUAAUAAGAUGUAUAGGGAUCUGAAACCUUACUACUGGUGUCCAAAGAUGAAGCUCAAUGUUGCAAAGUAUGUGGCAGAGUUUCUAACAUGUGUGAGAGUUAAAGCACAACAUCAGAAACCGUAUGGGAGUUUAGAACCUUUACCUGUACCCAUAGGUAAAUGGGAAGACAUCACCAUGCAUUUUGUGACUAAACUGCCCAUGAAGAAGAGCGGUCACGACAUGAUUUGGGUAGUUGUGGAUCGGUUCACAAAGAGUGCAUAAUUCAUAGCAGCCAAUGAGAGAUGUUCUAUAAAUAAGCUUGCAAAUGCUUAUGUGAAGGAGAUAGCAAAACUUCACGGUGUUCCAUUAACGAUUGUAUCUGAUCGUGAUAGUCGUUUCACAUCAAGAAUUUGGAAAAGUCUAGAGGUAAUGGGUACGAAGCUGUGUUUAAGUAAAACCUACCAUCCACAGACUGAUUGUCAGAGCGAAAUAACAAUUCAAACACUAGAAGAUAUGUUAAGAGCAUGUGCCCUAGAACUUCAAGGUAACUGGAAUGAGCAUUUACUCCUGAAAGAGUUUUCCUACAAUAAUAGUUACCAUUCAAGCAUUAAGAUGACACCUUAUCAAGCCUUGUAUGGACAGAAAGUCGUACGCUGUCUUGUUGGCUUCAGGCUGGAGAAAAGCAGUUUAUGCGUUUCGAAACAGUCCAUCAGACUGCUAAAAAGCUAAAAGUGAUUAGAGAAAGAAUGUUAGCAACUAAAGAUUGCCAAAAGAGCUAUGCUGACAAGAAGCGGCGACCAAUGACAUUCGAAGUUGGAGAUUCGGUAUUGCUCAAAGUAUCACCCUGCAAGGGACUUAUAAGAUUUGGAAAGAAAGGAAAGUUAAGUCCAAGAUUUAUUGGACCAUUCAAGGUUCUUCAGAGGAUUGGGAACCAAGCUUACAAGCUAGAAUUACCGGAAGAACUGGAUGGUAUUCAUAACACUUUCCAUCUGUGUUAUUUGAGGAAGUGCACGGGAGAAGUUCCCAAUAUGAUUCCACUUUCAGAUUUAAGGAUUUAUGAAGAAAAGAGGUUAGUCAAAGAUGCUGAAGCAAUUAUUGACCGUAAGACAAAGAAGUUGCGACGCAAGAUGGUCGAAUUAGUGCUUGUGUGAUGGAAAUAUACGAAUGGGUCGAACCUCACCUGGGAAACAGAGAGUGACAUGAUGAUUCGCUAUCCACUUCUGUUUGUUGAUGCAUGGUUCCAUGAUGGAAUCAUCCUAAGGAGAAGAGAAUUGUAACGCCCGCGUUUCUGCCUUAGAAUUAAUAUUAUGAUGUAAUAGUUAGGGUCGGAAAUUUGAGUAUUAUGUGGUUUUUGUGAUUUAUGUGAUAUAUAUAUGUGCUUAUAAUGAUCUAAUAAAAUAAUAAUAAGAAUAUGCGUCAAAAAUAAAAUAAUAGAUAGACCCAAUAUCUUUGAAGAAAGUUGAAGUGGCUGUGACAAGGAUUCUGGAGAUAUAAAGAAUGUUGAAAUUUGACUUAAAACGAAGAAAUUAUGACCUGUCGAAGUUUUACGACAAAACCGACACGACGUUGUGUAUCGUAAAAAGUAAGAUUGCGAUAACAUACUUUUUAGCCUUAGUGAUCUAAAAGAGAGUCACAGUAUACGUUAAACCAAGAGUGUGCAUAUAGAGAACUUCCUAAUCUGACUUCGUUAAAGGAAGUUAUGAUUUUUCUAAGAUUUGGGAAAGCAACAUGCAACCCGAAAAUCGAAUUUAGAUUGAUCAAUUUUUAGCUAACACAAUCUAAAUGAGAAUCGAAGAUCUCAUUAAUAGGAGCUCAAUGAUAUUAAGACAGAAGGAAACAGACGUUGGAUGACAAAGUUAUGAAGUUUUAACGGACUUUAACUGUCAAAUCCUGUUAAAAUAUAAGUUUAAAAAUAAAUUAAAAAUUAGCCGACAGAGUCUAAAAAAAGUUGUAGAUCACGUCGCUACCUACACGUGGAUAUAAAGAACGUCAAAAACGGAGCUCGUAUGCGAAAGUUACGAAAAGUUGAAGAUAAUUAAAAUAUGGGUUAAGAUGCGAGGCUGACACGUGGCACAAUCCCAGCCCCACCUUUCUUCGCAUGGCUUCGCACCGGAUGUCGACACGUGGCCCGCAUACGCCCAACGUAGGGCUUGGUAUCCCCAGCGUACUGAGUACGACCCACAUUCUCCGAAGUUAAGCCCCGCGUAAUGCGAAUUCCCAGCCUAUAAAUAGAGGCGCAAAUCACCUCAUUUCUAAAACUUAGACCGACAGGUCUGGGGUGACAAAUGCCAUAACCUUCCAACGCCUGAAGAACGUUGUUGCAGGCAGUCUGGGUCAAUAGCAUGGUUAUAAAACUCACAUGGAGUAUUAAAAACACGUUGAUUUACGGGGUUAUCAAAUGCCUUAGUGAUUUUAUACAUACAUAAAUCUACUAUCCUAGGUAUGAAAAACACUUUUGCAUUACAGUUUUGGAACUUUUAAACCACGACACACUUAUGGAAAAAUAUUGGAUUUCUAGAAGUAAACAUUCAAACAUGUCGGGUCUUGGUAGAAGAUUACUUUUAUACUAGUAGGAAAUAUGGGAUUUUCUAGGAGUUUUCAAACAUCUACAAACAAUUUAAUUCAGAUUUUAUACAAACAUUGACAUUAAAUACUUAUUAACUCACCUGCUUAAAUGCUGAUUUACUCUUUCAAACUUACUUGUAUUUGUCAGGGAUUCAGUAAUACAGGUAAACUUCAGCUUUUGAAGAAGUGACGCUAAUUCGUCAGUUUAAAACUUAUUUUGUCAUCAUAUUGUAAUUUGUUUUGAAACAAGUAUCAUUCAACAAUGUAAAAUUUAAAUUAUAUAUAUGAUGGUUGUUUUACUUUCUUUACUAUGUAUUCAAUUGUUACGAUACUACAUGAAGUUAUCUGCCCUCGAACAUUUCCGCCGUUCUGGUUUGGGGGUGUGACAAAAGAGUAUCAUCUUAGGAUUUUCCCUUGUGGUGGCACUUUGAAGGAGCCUUCCUCUUCUUGCCCCUCCCUUGCCCAAUGGUCAAAACAGGAGCAGCAGUUGGAGUGGGAGUUGAAGCAACAUACUUGUCCUAGAGAUCACUCUCAGCAGUCCUAAGCAAUCCUUGAAGCUUGCUCAAAGUGACCUCUUCCUUAUUCAUGUGGUAGGUCAUGCGGAACUGGUUGUAGCAGGGAGGCAAGGAGUGAAGGAUAAUUUCAAUUGCCAGCUCUUCAUCGAAGUUAACAUUCAACUUCAGCAGGAGAUCGACAUAUCUCUGCAUCAUUUGCAGAUGAGCGGUAAGGGACUCUCCACUGUCCAUUUUGGCAGUGAUCAUCGAAGUGAUGAUAUCAUACCUCUCUUACCUCGCACUUUGGUGGUAACGGUCCACCAAGUCUUGAUGCAUCUCAUAGGGAUAGUAGUCCUCAUCAAACUUUUGUAGUUCAGUAGUCAUGGUCGCUAGCAUGGUGCAAUGGACUUUCGUGGCAUCAUGCUCAUGGGCCUCAAAGGCAGCGAUCUCUUUGGGAGUAGUAGUGUUGAUGUUUAGCUCCUUUAGUCCCUUAUCGAGGAUAUGCUAUUUGUUCUCGUAACGAGUGACCAUUCGGAUGUUACAGAUCUAAUCAUUAAAAUUGGACCCAUCAAAAAUCACCUUCCCACACAAAUUCAUGAGUAAGAACGAGCCAGAGGAGUUCAACCCGGAAGCAUUGUUGUUGUUUGAUUUCGACAUUUGAAAUAGAAAAGAACAACGUUUUAUUAGAAAUGAAUCCCUAAUUAAACACCCAAAAUGAGAGAUUAGGGUUGUCACACCCCGAAACCGAAGGCGGAAACGUUCCGGGGUGGACUCCACGUUGAGUAUCAAAUCCAAUGCACAUAGUAAGCAGAGUAAACAACCAUUACAUUACAUAUUAGAAUUUACAUCUGGUCAAAAUUAACAUGUUACAAGUAUUAUACAUAUGUAUAUAUGAACAAAAGUAGAGACGAGUCUUCUAUGCGCUCUAUGUUCUCCAAAAGGAUCGCUGGGUACCUAUCUAAUAUGGACCUGAGAAUACAAGCAGUUUGAAAAUCAGCAUAAAGCUGGUGAGUUCAUAAGAUGUUUGUUUUUGAAAAUGUACAAGUCCCCUUUGGUUUUCCGAAAAGUUUGUUAUCCAAGAAAAUCCCAUAUUUUCUUAUAUGUAAAGUUUGAUUAACUGUUUUAUUACACGAAUCUGGUUAUGUACAAUUGUUAUCCCAGGAAAAUCCUAUAUUUUCCUAAAAGUAAGUUUAGUUAUUGAAUCCCAAUGUAAUGUUUGAUUAUCUUUCAUACUUGUUAUAUUAGCUAGGUAUUCUGAUAAUCUAAUUGUGUUACAUUUGAAUGUACCUAGAUGCGUGCCUUCGUAUUCGUAUUCCUAUUCUUAAUCAUAUUCAUUUUCGUAUUUUAUAUUUGUAUUCGUAUUCAUAUUUAUAUUUGUAUUCCCAUUCGUAUUCGUAUUCGCAUUCAUAUAUUCGUAUUCCUAGUCCUAUUCCUAAUCCUAUUCGUAUUCGUAUUCGCAUUCAUAUUCGUAUUCCUAGUCCUAUUCCUAAUCCUAUUCGUAUUCGUAUUCGUAUUCGCAUUCGUAUUCGCAUUCGUAUUCAUAUCCCUUGUCCUAUUGCUAAUCCUAUUCGUAUUCGCAUUCGUAUUCGUAUUCCUAGUUAUACUUUCGUAUUCGUAUUCGUAUUAGUUCUAAUUGAUGAUUAGUAGGAAUUAUUCGUAGUUUUUGAAAUAAUAUUUAGAUUGUAACACUUUGAAGAAAUCUAUGAUUAGUCUGAAAGGUAACUUCGUAAUUCGAACUAUUUGAUUAACACAGUUUUCGAUAUUAAAAACAUAUAGGAUAUAGACAUUUGAACAGAAAAAAAUAAGUUUGAGUACAAGAUUUUCUUGUACUUUUGCUUGUAUUCCCCCCUGAAAACAUUUGAAAAACAUUUGAAAAAGGGUAGGGGUAUGAACUCACCGGUCGAGAAGCGUGUCGGAUUGGAUGCUAAGUGUCGGUUCGGGGCUUGAGAACGUGUGAGGUUCCUAUGUAAUAUGAAAUGAUAUACAAAUGUAUAUAAUUAGACUUUAAAUUACUAAUUAGACAUGAUUAUACACUCCAAGACGCGAAAACACUUUAAAUCAAGUGUUUGGAGUGACCCGAGUGACAUCUACGGACAUAUAUGGCUUGGAUAAUGUGUUUAAUCUUCGAGAGUAAAUUCCUUAUGGGGUUUUCGGCCCUAAGACCAACUCCACAUGAGUUCACGGCCGUGGACUCAUGGGUGAGGGGUUUUAUGGUGCUAAAUGGCCUUAUAUGACUUGGGAAAAUUAGCUAGGAUCAAAUCUAGGGCAUAGGAAUGGAUUUAACUCACUUAUGGACCAUUUAAUGGAGUUUACGGCAAUAAACUCCCCCAUACCCAUUCCUUAUGUGUUUUGGUGGUGUUAGGACAAUCACAUGUGAUUUAAACUCAUUUUACAAGCCUUGGAUGGAAUUUUGGGCAUCAUUUGACUAUGUUAUAGGAGUUUACAGCCCAAGAACCCAUCCUUGGGGGGUUUACGGCCGUGAACUCCUAAGGGAGGGGUUUUCAUUAAGUUUAAGGCCUCUAACACGUUUGUGGUUGCUUCUAGACUUUAUUCCAAGGCUAUUGGUGUGAUUAAAUGGCAUUUUAACACUUUAAAAUGAGUUUACUCCCCAUGAUAUGGAGUUUACAGCCCAAGCAUGAUCUUGGGCAAUAAACUCAUGUUUACUCUCCAAAAGUUAAGUUCAAGGUGUUCUAAGUCCAUUUUGGUAAGCCCCUAAGUCAUAUCUAAGCUCCUAAUGUGGUUUGGAAGGGUUUUUGGGCUCCAAAACCCAUUUUAUGUGAGUUCACGGCCUAGGACUGUUCUAGGGCCGUAAACUCAUGAAUAUGGUCCUAUUUCAUGAUUUAAACUCGAAAAUGAAGGCUAAAUAUGUUAUACUAGGAGAUAGGGAAGUUACCUUGAUGAUUUGGGGCUUGAAUUCAAUGAUUUUUGGACUUAAAGUGUGGAUUUGAGGAAAGAGGUUAGAGAGAGAGUGAAAAGGCUUCAAAUGAAGCUUAACCCACUUUAUAUAUGGUUCGGGUUUGGGACACGGUGUAAUUCUACCCGAUACCGACGUUAAACGGGGCUUUUGGUCGCACCCGACUAAGUUGUCGUAACCCGGCGGGACAAUUUCUAAAAUUUAUCUAAUUAUCAUAUUGGGGUGUUUUCUUGAGUUUCUAAUGGGUUUGGAUACUAAUUAAGUCAUAAUAGAACUCUCGAAAUAAAUGACUUAAUUUUAAAAAUAUAAACGAAAAUGAUUUGAAAAAGACGAAUUUAUAGACGCAAACGGGUUUUGGCGAUGGUACGAACUUCGGGUUGUCGCAAGGGCUAGGAUCCAACAACAUUAUUUACACAUUAGAAAAGGGAUGUCGUAAUCUAACAUGCAAACAAUUUCAAGGUAAGUGAAUGACGAUUCACUAAUUCUCCACCAUGAGAAACAUAAAAGGAUACUAGUGAUUAAUAUUAAUAUAUUAUAAGUUCUAAUAUAUUAAUAUAUAAUCAUAUUAUUUAAUUAGUAUUGAUCAAGAAUUAAUUUAUAAUUAAUGAAGUGAUCAAAAGAAACUAAUUAAAUAUGGACUCUUAGAUAUAUAUGUGUGAUGGGCCAAGUUCAUUUAGGUUGGGCUAAGCUUUCAUGGAUAGUCCAUGGAGUGUUUAACCCAUGGAUCAUAUGAAAUUAAGGCUCAUGGGUAUAACCCUAAUCUCCACAGUAUAUAAAGAUGUCCUUCGUUGGUGAAAUUGGCACUAGUGUGUGUACACAAAAGGAUAAGGGCGAUUUCACUAGAGAGAACCAAAGUACCCUUAUUCUCAAGGUUAUUCCAAGUGUUCAUGGUGUUGUGUGAACCAUUUGAGGUAUCACACUUGGGGCACUAGGCACUCAAGUUUCAUGAAGACAAGUUACAUCAAAAAGGUAUGUAUUCUAUCUAUUUUUAUUACCUAAGUAUCAAAGAUUGUAUGCUAGAUUGGGUAAUACCUUAGAAUAAUCAUAUUUGCAUGUAUAAUAGAGAAAACAUAGAUCCAAGGAAUUUAGGGUUUGAUGUACACUUAGGAGUGUUAGAAUGCUCAUAACCCAACAGUGGUAUGAGAGCCUAGUCUUGUUUUCUUGUUAUUCUUACUUAAAUUCCUGAAAAAUCGAAGACUUGUGCUUCUUGGACAGGGGACUCGAUGAGUCCAUGAAGGUACUCGACAACAUAUCUUCGAGUUUAAAAGCUGGAAUUGGUUUAAAAUCAUUACCUUAAGCUGUUUUGGUCUUAUAAAACCAUUUUUUAAAGUAAUAAUGAUUAUAGUAAACCAAUUUCAAGGUUAAAAUGAAAAUUUCAAGAUUUAUGUAUGUUGAAGUAAAUUUUGAAAGUGUUGAUAUGGAUUGUUCAUGCUUAUGAGUUUUGGUAGAUCAUAGGAAUUAUUUACAAAAGUGUUUGUUAGUUAAUUCUUGAUCUAAAUGUAUUUUUAAUGGAGUCCAUAAUUUUUCCUCAAGUUAUGGAUUACCAAAAGUUUUAUGUUUCCUUGAUUUAUGAGUUAGUUUAUAUUAAUGGAAAAAAAUUUGUUUUUUAGUUGUUUUCAAUCCUAAUUAAUCUAGAGGUAGUUCAUAAAAUGUGUUUUUGUAACUUGUCCUCAAGUUACAUAAAAGGUCACAUUUAUGAAUCUUAAAACUCAUAAAAGUGUCAUAGGUUACAUAAAAAAUGAAGAUUCACUUCUUUAAAAGUGUUAUUAAAUAAUAAGAGGUUACAAAAAAAUGAAGAGUCUUUUUCUUAUAAAUAGUUUUUAUGGCUCCAUAACUUGUCCUCAAGUUAUGGAUGUCCAAGAGUCUCUUCAUUAAAAGUUUUAAAGCUUUAAUUAAACUCAUAAGUUAUGAAAAUCCAAGAGUUUUAAAUAGUUUCAAAACUUGCUCUCAAGUUUUGGAAUUUGUAAAUUUUGCCCAUGAAUACUUUAAUUCCAAGUUAAGCCCUUAGAAUUUUAAAAGUUAAAAUUCAACCCUUAUACUUUAUAAUAUUAUAAGUUAAUAAUAUNUGGCAGUUUAAUGGGUGUGCACUCUCACCUACUGCUUCCUUGACUGGUGGAGGGUUGUUAGCCGAACAGGUAGGACAAGGACUAUAAUUCUCCCUUCACUAAAUGUAUUAAUGAUAAAUAUAAAGUAACUAAAAUGUUUUUAAAAUUUCCAAUCUUAAUUACUUUAAGAAAAUGUGAAUAAGUUGCUAAUCCAUGAAAUUACACUUUGCACUUUGCUUAAGUCGGUUAGUGGAGCAUGUGUGGUUAACCGACACACUAGCUUGACUUAACAAGGUAGGAAAAGGGUAACUUAAUAUUUAUCAUAGUAUCGGUGGAGGGUGUGUGGUUAACCAGCACAUCGAUUAAGGGGUAAAUAUUAAGGGUACGAAGUGAUUUGCAUGGUUACUUCAUACCUUGUUUUGUGAUCCUCAGCAUCCCAAUCAAAAAUCUUGAAGGGCACACUCGAGAUUGAAACAUGCCAUUGAAUAGUUCAAUGAAUCUCAAAAGAUCUAGGAGUUUCAAAUCCAAGUAAAACCUAAUUAAAUUAUUUUAUUUUCAUGGUGGAAAUUGGUGAAUCGUCAUUCGAAUACCUUCAAAUAUUUUAUAGCUUGGAUUACGGCGUCCCUCUUCCAAGUUAUAAAAGUAUUGUGUUGGGUCCUACCCUUAAUAUUUCAUAUUGGGUGUUAUAUUAAGGACUUUAAAUCAACUAUCUUAAAUAUCUCCCAAAAGAUUUCUAGUUAAGACAUCCAUGAUCUUCCCAAAUCUCUUGGAACUUCACUUCCUCCACCUCCUCCAAUUAUCCUCCCUAACCCACAAGUUCAAGAUCACUCAAACCCUAUUGGCAGGCAAGGUCUAUGUGUGCUAACAUCUUGGAGAUGAAGUCACAUAUUGACAAGUCGGGAGAUUUGGGUGUCAAAGUCUUAAGAAAGUUGGAUGUUCAAUCACUUUCUAAGUCACAUAGUGAGGUCCUUUAGGACUACUAUGGAAUAGACUAUGACAUGACCCUUAAUGAUCUUAUCUAUUUGCUUGGUACUGCUGAAUUAGCAAUGAUUUGGAGCUUUGGUAAAGCGAAUUUGAUUAGUAGAUCAACUUUCCAAACAUUCAAUGGACAUUGAAAAUGGUUGCAUUAGGAUACCCAGUAAAAGAUUCCUCUUCCCAAUUGAAAGGGAUUGACCAUAGUCAACUCGGUUGACCAAAUAGUAAAGAGAAAGGCUAAGUCUGAGAUUGUCCCAUGUACCAUUCCCAAAGGGUCCAUAUGGUUCUAUUGCCAAAAGGAAAAGUCAUUAGUUGUGAAGCUGGCAAAUUUACCUGAAAGAUCAUAAGGCUGGUAAAGUCAAUAAGUUUGACUCUACUUCAGGUAAACUCCACUAUCUAACUCAAUUAAGUUUCUAUUCUGAGAUUCUCACAUGCUGAUGUUGUAAGAAUCAAAGGAAAAGUAAUGGAAACUUAAAUAAAGAGUAUGCUGAAUCUAAUCGCGAAGAUAGAUUUCUGUCGCUUGAUUGAAGAUCGGAUUCUUGAGCUACUCUUAGGGAGUUAUGAUAGAUUGCUAGGAAACAUGUAGUAGCAUAGUUUUCAUUCAAAGUUGCAUUGUAAGGAAAAUUUUUUCUGCAAUGUUUUAAAAUAAAUGGAAAUUUUUUUUUUUUUAUUUAUUUUAAAAAUAUCCUUACAAUGGCAUUUGUGAAAAAUUGUUGUCUAUAUGAUUCCAUUAAUAGCAAGAAUGGAAAUGUGAAUUUGAUUCUUUCGUUUGUGGCAGUGUCUAAAUUUACCAAAUAAGGAAAGCUUCUCAUCACCCAAGUUUUCAGUUGGAUAGAAACUUGGAAUCAUACAAAUUGUACAGUAUGAUGAAUGAUAACUUUCAGCUUUGGAAAAUUAAGACUAGUUCCUUGUUCACAUGUAUAUGUGAGUCAUGUGAAGGACUAAGGGAUCGAGUACACAUUCUUGUGCACUGGUCAAGUCCACCACAAAAGAUCUAUAAGACUAUUCGUCAUGUUUUACUAAAGUUUAGUAAAUACGGUUACACUGACAAGUUUAAGUGUAAAUUCUGAUACAUUGGAAAAAUGUCGAUGUAUGGCAGAACGAAUGAGAAGAAUCAAAUUAGGAAGAAGGAUAAAAUUUUCUCAAAUCUGGAAAGAUGGGAGAGUACUUUAGUCUCAUGUUAUAUGAUCAUCUUGAUGAUUAAGAGACCUUAUCACAAUUCAUCCUUUAAGUGCAUUUUGAUAGCUAAGAAGAGGAGCUAUGAAUUAUUGAAGUGGUCAAAUCAAGAAGAUGAUUCAUACCUCGUUCCAAAAAAAAUUCUUAGAGUCAUACUCCAAGAUUGUAACUUGAGUGACAUAUCUUAAAGGAAGGUUUUUUUAACACUAGUAAAAUGUAAGAGUAAAAGUAUCCUACUCUUGUACAUUUGAAAUUGGUAACCGGUGAUGUUUUGGAUAAAAAAAAAGACCAACUAAGACCAAUUGUGUGAAGUGUUUGUCUUGAUAAAGAAUCCAAACCAUCUCUUGAAAAUUUCGCAAGAUAGUCUUAUAUGUCAAGAGGAUAGUGGGAGUCUUAAAGAUCUUGAAAGGAUAAUCAAGAAUAAAACCUGUAAGUUUAUCGCUAGCACACGACGUCAGGUUUAUAGCCUAUCAUAUUGACAUAUUUCAGUUAAAGUUGGCUUUGCAUAUGAGUUUUGAGAGUUCUCAAUUGGUUGCAUAACAAUUUAGAAGCAAUGGCAGGCCCUUGAGUUGCCAGGUGGCAAGAAAUUAAGAUUGAGUUUAGUCCAUAUGUGUUUGGAUUUGUCAUUAUCCUUGUCUUGUGACUAUGGUUUUGACAAUUCACAUGUAUAAGAACAUAUACACCAUAAAAUCUAAGGGUCACAAGGUUUCUCUCCGAUUUAUGAAAAUGAUGGUGAGGAAACACUUCCACCAAGUAGAUUUGAAGCAGAUAGCAAAGAUCUAAACAAUUGAGACUAUGAUUACGACAUCCCUUUUCAUUGUUCUAAAAUUGUUUAGACACACCUAUGAGCUAUCUAAGAUAAGGUGUAUGAUUUUGAUAAAGUCUUAUCAAGGCAAUACCGUCUCAAAAAUCUGAAAUUCGGUAAGAAAGUCAGUAAAGUAUUGACUUCUAGAAGUCCAGCUAAUUUCUGAGUACAUGUCAAAGCUAGUGGGAACAUAAAUAUUAUGCUAAUAAUCAUCAUGUUAGUGGGAGCAUGAUAAUUAUUGUUAGUACUGCAAGAUAGCAAUGUUAGUUAUAGAAAAACAAAAGUUUCAAUUCGUGAAGUUGUAGGGGUUGAAAAGUUGUUUUGCUAUAAUUAAGGGAGAGGAAAUCAUACUUCAUCUCAAAUCUGUAAGCUUAGACCGUGAGAUUUUAAUCAAAUUUAUUCAAGUAUAUAUAUGAAUGUUAUGUUGGAAUGGCUCAACAUAAGGAAAUUCUAUAUAUGGAUCUAUUAUUUGCGUUCUAAAAUUCAAUUAUGAUUACGACAUCCCUUUUCAUAGUCUGAAUUAUGAGAACUUGGCAAAUAGAAAGAUUGUAGCAAAAGGACUUGUCUAGUAUCAUGUCUUUAUGUGAGACAUCAUGAAUCGUGUCCCAUAUGCUUCUGAUAUAGGAUCGAUUGCAUGUGCUAUAAUAUUCAUCCUUUCUAAAAUUUUCCAAAUGCCUAGGGUAUUAAGAAGGGAAAAGGUCUAUAAUUGGAUAUGACUAAAAGGAUUAAGCAAUUGUCGAGGACAAUCUAAGGUUUACCAAAGAUUAGUUGCUCAGGGACAGUUGGAAGUAUAAUAUUAAUCUUUGGAAGGACCAUAUUGACAUAUUCAGAAAAGAGGCAACUCUUGUUCAAAAGUGAUAGUCAAAAUGGGAAUAUGGGAAGGUGGAAGUUGUUCAAUAAAUCUGUGUAAGAUUAGGAAAAUUAAUGUAAGAAGGAUGUUUCCUAGGAGUUGAUCUCCUUUGGAAUGCUUUGUAAUGUUAGUUCUCAAGUCUUCGUGACUUUGUGCAUAAUCAUUACAAUAGGAUCAAUGCAUUUAAGUUUAAAAUCUAACAGAUUUCAAUAAAUGAUAGGAAUUUGGAAUUCUUACAUUUUCGAUAAGGAUUUGGGAGUGUGAAAUUAGAAUCAUUGAAAUUGUGUUCAAUUGGUUUAUUUCACAAAGUAAGGAUCAUAGACAAACAUAGAGUGCAUACUUAGUGUAUGGCAAAGCUAUUGUUUAGAAAAAACAUAGUGUACAUGCUUGGAGCAUGGGACAACUAGUGUUUUUAAUUCAAGUAUAAAGUUCAUAAGUUCUGAGACCAUAUUGGAUUCGAUUAUUCUUGUGUUUCACUUUGCAUGUUUUGAGUUCUAGAAUAACUUGGUCGUUCUUCCUCAAUGACUGAGUUAUUCAAACCAUCCACAGGCGGUCAUAUGUUGGAAGUAGAUAUGAAUCAAGACUGUCAUGGGUUGGCUUGUAGAGGUCCUAGUUGUUGGACAAAGUGGCGCAACAACACUCAUGAGUGCUCAUAAGUUUUGAGUAUUGGAUUCAACUCGCGCUCUUUGGAAUCACUUCAUGGAUUUUAUCACGAGUGAUCAUGAGACGAUAAUUUCUUAUAUUCUUCAAACCUAGAGAUAUGAGUUGUUACUAUGAGUUAGUUAUACAUUUAUUGCAUGAAACCGCAUUGGUAACUCGAUGAUAUAAAAUGUGCCUUUGUGUAUGAUUCAACAAGUAGUAGAACAAGCCAUAUGAGUCGAAGUUUAUCCAUUCCUUUUACAUUUGGGAUAAAAGCGAUAUCUGUCAGCCCGUCGAUGAUUUAAUGAUGAUACAUGUGAGUGCUUGCCCAAGCCAAGACUGAUUUGAUCUGUUCAAUCAGUCAGUCAUCAUAAAUAGGAAAUCGGGAAAAAACAAAUGGGCAUAGAGAAUGAUUAUAAUCCAUGUCUCAGUCCAUAUGAUAUCUAGAAUGGAGGAAUAUAUAAUCCUUUAUCUAACGGACAAGUCAUUGACAAGAUCAGAGUUCAGUUAUCACGUCAGAGUUCGACAGAAGCUUUUGAGCGCUACGAUUGCAAGUCGGGUUUUGAAGUCAUACUCAAUAAUAGUUUUAUACUUAUCCAAGUGGGAGACUAUUGGAUUACUAUCUAAGUCCAUAAAUAUAAUUGGUAAGACUUGACCCGAUCUGGCAUGGUCCAUUUGGGUUGCAUGGCAUCGGGACAAUUGAUAAACAAGAUGAGGAAAAAGGAUACUAGUGAUUUAUAUUAAUAUAUUAUAGUUUGUAAUAUAUUAAUAUAUAAUCAUAUUAUUUAAUUAGUAUUGAUCAAGAAUUAAUUUAUAAUUAAUUAUGUGAUCAAAAGGAACUAAUUAAAUAUGGACUCUUAGAUAUAAAUGUGUGAUGGGCCAAGUUCAUUUAGGUUGGGCUAAGCUUUCAUGGAUAGUCCAUGGAGUGUUUAACCCAUGGAUCCUAUGAAAUGAAAGGUCAUGGGUUUAACCCUAGUCUCNUAAAGAUGUCCUUGGUUUGUGAAAUUGGCACUAGUGUAUGUACACAAAAGGGCAAGGCCGAUUUCACUAGAGAGGACCAAAGUAUCCUUAUUCUCAAGGUUAUUCCAAGUGUUCAUGGUGUUGUGUGAACCAUUUGAGGUGUCACACUUGGGGAACUAGGCACUCAAGCUUCAUGAAGAAAAGUUACAUCAAAAAGGUAUGUAUUCUAUCUAUUUUAUUACCCAAGUAUCAAAGAUUGUAUGCUAGAUAGGGUAAUACCUUGGAAUAAUCAUAUUUGCAUGUAUAAUAGAGAAAACAUAUAUCCAAGGUAUUUAGGGUUGCAUGUACACUUAGGUGUGUUAGAAUGCUCAUAACCCAACACAAUCAAGGAAGCGAUGGGUAAGAGUGGAUACCCAUUAAACGGCCAUUUUAUAGGCCAUCCUUAUACCCCCCAUUAUAGAUCGGCUUCGUGAAUGAGAGCUACUAACGCUAAGACUAGCAUUUGAAGUUAUACAUAUAUAUUAAUUAAUCUUGUAAUAAUAUAAUAGUAUAGAAUUGAAUUUUAAAUUUGUAAAAUUCUAAGGGUUUGAAAUUUAAAUAAUUCAAAAUUAAACAAUUAAUCAAAAAUUUAAAUUUCAAAACUUGAGGGCAAGUUUUGAACUUUUCAAAACACAAAUGAUCAAAUAGCAAAUAAUUCAAAAUUAAACAAUUAAUUUAAUAAUUAUCUAGAUUUGAUCUAAUCAAGAUUAAGAUAAUUUACCAAAUAAAUUCAAAUAAUCAAAUAUUAUCAAAUAUUGAAUUUAUCAUUCAAUUAAUUGGUAAUUAUCUUUUGUUUUGUUAAGGAUAUUGACAAAAAGUAAUAAAAUUCGUAUUUUAUUGAACCAAAAUGAUUUAGGUAAGUAUCCUUAAGCAAGAAGGAAAUUAUGAGAGAGGGGCGAGGAUGCUAAAAUCGGCCCUAGGGUUUCUCUUGAGAUCAAGUGGCCGAAAAUUGCAUGCAAGGGUCUUUAUUUAUACAGUAGGCUGCUAGGGUUUCUACCAAAACCCUAAUGGAAAACUUAAUCACCAAGCAGCCCAUGGAACCUUCUGUAAUAGGGCCUUGGACGAAAAUAUGAUGAUCAUUCAUCAUAAUUUCGUCCCCCCUUUGUCCGUUAGGUUUCCCAGCCCAAAACUAAACUAUCACACAUUUGACAGUUUAAGCCUCUUUAUUUAAUUAAUCUCUUUUAGUCACCAAAUUAAUUCCUAAUUAAUUUAUGACUAAUAUUAAUCAAAUAAUAUGAUUUCUCCUUUAAUAUAUUAUUCUUAUAAUAUAUCAAUAAACCGUAAUAUAUUCUCUCUCUCUCUAUAAAUUACCUUGUCAAGUUGCUUUGGUGAAGGCAACCCAAAAGGACCAUGCACAACCGGAUCAAGUACUUACCAAAUAUAGUUAUGAGAUUAGACACUAAUCCAACAAUAAGAACCAUGGAAACCACCCAAGGGAGGUUAGAAAACCAAGCGCUAAUUAUUGAAUAUCUUCAAAUUCUACAUUGUGAUUUUACCCACUUCACAAAAUCGAUCUCUAUGUCAAGAAGGGAAGAUGUUAUACAUUGUAAGCUUUUAUUUCUUCCUUUUUUUGCUUAUAUUUUCAAUUCCUCACCUGAAUAAAGCAUUAGAUAGGGACUAUUUUUCUUAUAUAAAAUUUAAACAAAAUCCAUCUCUUAACCUUGGCAUACGAUCGAAUUCAACAUAUUUAACGUUGAAAAUAGUCGUACUUUAUAAGAAUGAGAAGAUGGCGGGUUUAAAUAUAGGUAAGGUUGUUUUCCAUAUGUUUUGACUACUUAUUUUGAUUAGGAUUAAUGGUAAUUUAUAUAAUAAUAAUUAUACUUAUUUAUACUGACGCAAAAUAUUAAAAAAUAUUUCCAAAGAUGUUCAGCUAGAAUGAUUAUGGUGGCUGACAUAUGUUUUUUGUUGGUGAUAAAUUUUUUUUAAAGAUUUAAUAUGAAGCUUGAACUUUUAUGCGUAUUAUGUAGCAUGAAAUUUAAGCCAAGAUGUUUACUAUAUAAUGUUUAGGAAUACGGAUGUUCAAGUUAGACAUGGUAGGAAUUUCUCAGUAUUUAUCAAUCUAUGAAGUUGUAAAUUAUGAUUAACGUGUAUGUUUAUACAUGUUUGUUUGACCUUUUGGUAUGAUUAAAAUAUAUANNNNNNNNNNNNNNNNNNNNNNNNNNNNNNNNNNNNNNNNNNNNNNNNNNNNNNNNNNNNNNNNNNNNNNNNNNNNNNNNNNNNNGAAGCAUGAGAAAUUAACCAUUUGCAUGUUUUUUUGGUGAAACAUGUAAAUGAAUCAUUUACUUUAACAUCUCUAAAUUUUGCAAAAAAUUUAAACUUUUAAAAAUUAUAUAAGUAUAUCAAAACCAUGUCUUUCAUUCAAGAUAAGUUUCAAAAUCAUACCCCAAGAUCAAUCUAUUUUAGAAGCCGUUGAUAGUUAUCAAUCCCAAAUCAAGAAAAGCAUAAACCGAUGUAAUAUUAAAACUCCAACAAUUUGUCUUGAGCCAGUGUGUUGUCAUACCCUUCCAUCUUGAAUACAUGUUGAUCCUGAAAAAAUAAUUUUUAAGGGACAAGGAUUAAGCACAAAGCUUAGUGAAUUUCACACAUAUAAAAUAUCAUAUUAUAAACAUAUUAACCCUGUUACACAUAUAACAACAAUAUUAGCCAUGCAACCAUGUGUGCAUGUCAAAGAGCGAAUCAGUAGCAACAUAUAAUUACUGGGACACAUUGGCUAUUCCACAUCCCCUUUGCUCAGUAAAUUGAGCCCUUAAGACACAUUGGCUAAGCUCGAUCCCCUAAAACAGUACCCAUUGGGACACAUUGGCUAUGCCCGAUCCCCCGCUUGGACUCACCGAGACCUCCUUUAUUUAUUCCUCGGUACGUGAGAGAAUACCAUUCUCCCAUAAGACACUAAAGCAAAGAAUGUACAAGUUCACACAGUGUAUUAAAAAACUCACCUCUAGUCGUUGAGUAAACCUCCAACUCCAUCCUGGAACCCACUCACAACAAGUCACCUUUCAAAAUUCCAACCAACAACAAUCAAGAUUAAAAAUGGCUACCAUUAACCCUAAACAUAUAAAUAAACUACUAGGUUCACUUUCUAGAUUUUCAACCGAAACAAUAGCCUGUUCAAGACCACUUUAACACCACUAAAUCCCACCAAAAUUACAAUAUUUUUCAUGAUUCCAUUAAUUUAGUCUCUUAGAUUUUCAAGGACCACUUGUACAUGCCAAUAUGAUUUUUUUAGAAAUUUCCAUGGAUUUUAUAGAACUGCAUAUCAAUGUAGCUCAUUUCGGACCAGUUAGUAAAAAUGAUGAUUUUGACCCAAGUUAUAGCCAACAUCAGGUCAAGGAAAAAAAUCAGGGACACACUAGACUCAAAAUAUGAAUUUUGAGAGUUUACAGUAAUUCAAAAUUUUGGUAUUUUUUAGAAUUUGUACAAAAGAGAUUCCUCAGUCUUUACAUAAACUCGGAACUUGGGUUUUUCUUUCUCAUAACCCAUUAUGGACUUAAUCAAUACGAAAAUGCCAUAAAAAACAAUAAUAUAAAGCCUUGAAUAAAUCCAUUCAAAAGUUUUUUCAAACAUUAAGAAAAAGAGUUAAGCAUAUUUUACUAUAAAACUUGCAAGGCACCAAGAACCUCAUGAAGUGAUAACCCUUUAAUAAGAAUUCUUCCAAUUGUUGCAUAAAUCAUGGCUUUAGAUGUAGGUUACCUUAACGAUAAAAAAUAGGAUUUCUUAUCAUUUCAUGAAAUUGAAAGCUAGGAUUACUUAUUCUUUCACCCAAUACAACACUAAACUAAAAAAGAAACAAAUAUAAGGCUUGAGCAUCAUCACCACCUGCUGCCAUCAUGGUAGUGAGGGGAGGCGGUGGCAACCACCACUUUGAUGGUGGUUGUGGUGGCAUUUUUGGUUUAGACAAGUGAAAUGGAAAAUAAGGGAACAAGAAAUAGUACCAUCCAAGGAAAUUUGAUCUACAAAAUAGAAAAUCGACCCUUAUUCAUCGGCAACCUACACAAAUAUGAGGAUUGGAAGACAAGGUUUUUCGACGAUUGGUGGAUCGAAGUGGGUGGAGGGAUUCGGGUUAGGUACAACUGCAAUCGAUCGACAUGGAAGGAAAUUGAUAAUGCAUUCUCCCUUCACACUGUAAUUCACGUGCACACAUGCACAAAACUUCAUACUUAAAAAUGGCCCUACAACACAAAACUUAGCAUACUAAGUUUAGAAAAUGGCAUUUUCUACUCUAACAUCCAUUUUAAUCUCUAACUUCAAUUAUAACUUACCUUUAAAUUAUUAAAUUAUAGUAUUUAAUAAUAAUAAUAAUUAUUUAUUUUUUCCCUUAUUUAUAUUUUAAAAAAUAUUUACUUCUAGAUUUAUAAAAUACAACUAUAAUAAUUUGACAAGAAACAGGGCAUUACAACUCUCUUAUAGUUGAAUCAGAUUUCAUCCUCGAAUUCUUUGUGUUGAAACAUAAAAGUGACCCUCUUAAGCUUAAAAUAGAUCUGAAGCAGCUUUAAGCAACCAGAACCAAUCUCCACACCACAAUAAAAGAUCAGCAACCGAAGUCAUCAUAUCUUAGUCUUCGUCUAAUAUCUGUUUUUAUUUAAGUACUUUCUUUUAUCCAAUGUCCCUCUGUGGCAACUCUUAACAGAUUAGACUGUAUGUAAUCUUCGAGAUUCUAUAAAUAGAUUUCUCUUCUUCUAGAUGAAUAUACUUCUCUUAUGCAUCUUGAAUCUUAUUACUUAUCUUCCUCUCCUCUCACUUAUCACUUAAAUUUAUUCCUAAUUUUAUGAGAUCUCUCUUCGGAGUAAGUCUUUCUAGACUUAAUCACUAAGUUUGAUCUCACUUACUAAAUUGGUCUGAUUGCAUUCCUUGUUAUGAAUCAACUUAAGUGUAUACUUGAUAUAAUACUUGUUUUCUUUUAUAUUUCCUUAUAUUUCCGCAUCUAACUAUCUAACCUUCUAACUCUAACUUAUUAUUAUUGUUGAGCUUUAAUGAUCCUUUGAGUUAAACUUUAUUUUGCAUUAUCACUUGUUCUAACGUUUGCUUAAGUGUGACUCAAGUUUUUCUCUCAACAAUUGGUAUCAGAACCAAAGUGGUUGCUUUUUGAAGCAAAACUCUGAUUUUCAAAAAGCCUUCUAUACCACUGAAGCUCAUUUCUUAAAAAAAAAACAAACAAAAUUUCAAAACAAGGAAAUAUGGUACAAACAUUAUCUCUCAAUGUAUCCAACAAUGUUGGUGGCUCUAGUAGAGCCCCAAUACUAGUGGCAAACGAAUAUCAUCACUGGUCUCAGAGGAUGGAAAGAUACUUAAGGAGACUUGGAAGAGAUGUAUGGAGAUCUGUAGAAGAAGGGCCACAUGUCCCUGUUCUUAAACCUGUUCAAACCGACGGUGCCACUGCCAGACUAGGAGGAGGUCAACCAGCCAUGAAUCGUCCCACAAAAGACGAUCUCGAUAAAAUGGAAAAUGAAGGUGUUGCUUUUUAUGAAAUCUCUUGUGGAGUUGCUCCUGACAACUUUGACAUUAUCAUAAACUGCAAAUCAACAAAAGAGAUCUGGGAUGUUCUUAAAAACCUAUAUGACGACACAGAACAAGCUCAAGAUAAGAAGCUCACAACCACACUCAAUGAUUUCAACAAUUUCAAAGCUCAUAUUGGCGAAAGUUUGGAAGACUCCUUCAAAAGGUUCGAUCUCAUUGUUACUAAGUUAUCUAAUGUUGGCACGGUCCGAAGCAACCAUGAGAUAAAUCUUUCGUUUCUCAACGGUUAGGGAAGACACUGGACGACUGCAAAAAUGAUAGUCCAAGGAGAUUGAAAGAUCCACUCGUUAUCUCUCUACAAGCUCUACCGUGAACUACACGCUCAAAAAUCCACUCUACUCAAAGAAUGUGUUGACUUCGGAGGACCACUGGUUUUUAUAGCACAAGCUCCAUAUACUAAAUCUAAAUCUACCUCGUAUGACAAUCCUCCGUAGUCAAACGAAGCUGAAUCAGAGUAUGAUGACGAAGAAGAAUUUCAGAAUGUUAUAGACCUUGUUAGCCAACAGUUCAACCAACUACCACCUACUUCUUUUUGUAAGAAUCAGCAGUUUCACAAAUCUCCAUUCAACUGCAACUUCAAUAAUCAUUCUCGAUACCCCAAAAAUCCUCACCCUCCACCGCAACCACAAACCACUCAAACCAAAGAGGCACCUAAUCCCAUCAAUUCAACAGACACCGGUACCUCAUCAGAAGAUAAAAAUUAUGUUGUAAUCUGUCACAAGUGCAACAAGGAGAAUCACUUUGCAAAAGAUUGCAAAGCUAACAUAGUGAAAGAUAGAGCAUUCUACCUUACAAUGCCCCAAGAACUGGAAGAGAUGGAAAAAACAAGGGCAUACGUAGCUCAUGUAAAAAGGGACCAUCAAGUUUCGUCAUUAGGGGAUGAAGAUGAAAAUGUCAAAAAUGUCAAAGGUAAAGGAAAGAUAUGCAUGUUGGCUACUGCGAAUGAUGAUGAGUCUACAAAGUUGGAAAAGAACUACUGCUACAUGGAAAAGGAUGAGACUCUAAGCAUCGUCGAAUAAGUAAAAAAAAUGAUCCAAACUCUCAAUUAUAGCAUGCAUGACUGUCAACCAUUCAUAGACAAUCUUAAUCACAUAUGUGAUGCCGUCCUUACAGACUAUAACAAAGCUCUAGAUGAGAAGAACAUAGCGUCCCAAGAGAUGUUUCACGUUAGAGGGCGACUAGAUAACAAAAGACUCAAAGUAGCUAUGUUAGAAAAGGACUUUGAGUUAGAGAAAGAUGAAAGAAUGUUAAGUGAAACACAACUAGAAAUAGCUUUGAACCAAAGAGAUUUAGCUCAAAAUGAAAUUGUACGUUUAAAUCUUUUAAUAGAAAACUAUUCAAUGAAAGUGAAGCUGUUGAAAAUCUUGUGAACAAUGGAACCAUAGAUAACACCUAUAAUUGGAGUUGGUCCAUUGGGUACAAUACCUCAAAGGACGCAUCGCCUCAGUUUAACAAGGACCGUCCCUAUGUCCCACUGGACCAAGAGUUCCAUUAUCUUGUCAAUAGUAAAACCUUCCCUGAGGACAUCAAAGUGCACUAUGGUCCUCUUCAAGACCUCAACAAUAAUUCUGUAAUUGAGGAAAAUUUUCCUGUAUCCACAUAUCACACAUGUGAUUAAAAACCUGUCAUUGACACAGUUUGUCCUAAUUCUCAAGCGUCACCUGUUUGUGACGAGGAAAUUCUUAUAGAAACUCCUGUAGAUUUCACUAACUUUCCUACACUACCUUCGGGCCGCAGUCUUUCUUACUGCAGUCCUACACCGCAAUAUGAUCAACAAUCAUUCACAAAGUGUCCCACAACACAAUCUUACUCUGCGGUACUUCAAUCAUCCUUAUCACAGUUCCUAGUCAAAAGCUCAGUAUCACUUUAGUCAAUUUAUCACGAACUUCCUCUAGAAAACUUUGAAUACAGCCAAUGUUCCCAGAAUACUGAAUCACCCAUCUUGGUUGAAUCCAGUCCUUGUUUUAAAAAAUAAUCAAAGGAUUCAAAGAGACUGCAAUUGAAUCUCAACGACUGCGGUACACCAAAAACUUUAGCAAAACUGGCUUUCAAAAGGGAGUUACAGUUUUGUAACAAAAGGAAGAAAAGUUUUUCAAAAAAACAAACCAUUGUUUGAAAUUCCAAGAAACCAAAAAAACCAGUCUUUUCAAAUUAUCUUUCUAAUAUCUCAACUGUCAAAAAAACAACCAAAAAGGAAUGUACAGUUCCUUAAACUUUUUCAAAGAGAUCCGACAUAAGCCAAAAGCAUGUAAAGUCAUUUCGAAGCAAUGUGUUUAUUAUCUAUUCCUUUGACAACCCAAAAUGGAAAGGAAUCUUGCCUACACCAACCCAUCUCAAAUCACGUCAAUCUCCUAUAAUGACACAUCCUAGGAAACUGUCACGUACGUACACUGUAUCUAGGCAUUCUGCCUCACAAAGAAAAGACAAAAAUGUUAGAUCUCAUCCUCAGACCGGUCCUAAACAUAAUCCCACUUCCUUUGGACUGCUGACAAAACAAAUGUUAGGACUAGUGCUAAAAAAUGUUCAUCUGAUUUUCAUCAAAAGGGAUUUCCUCGAGCCCAACCUCAUAUUUUUCAACAGACCUCCAGUGUCCAAAGAACCUAUACUAGUCAGAACUCACACACUUUUUAGAAACCUCAUACCCAUCAUAGAUCUCGUAACUUUUCAAGAUCACACAUGACCCCAAAAACUCACAAGUACCUAGGUCUAGGCACCACAAGCUAGCUUAUCUUAAUUUCAGAUAUAUCAACAAUCUGGUCACCGGAGAACUCGUCCGAGGUUUCCCAAUUCUCAAAUUCAGCAAUGAUACACUUUGUCCUGCCUGUGAAUGUGGCAAAUAAUCCAAGUCAAGUCACCCAAUGGUGAUUGAUUCUUCAAUUUCUGAACCACUGCAACUCCUACACGUUGAUCUCCACGGCCCAUCUACUAUAGCUUGUCUUCAUCACAAAAAAAUAUAUACUAGUUAUAGUUCAUGACUUCAUUCGUUUCACUUGGGUUUUCUUUUUGAGACUCAACUCCGAAACUCUGCAGAUACUAAUCAAUUUUAUCAAAGAAAUUGAACUUCAGAUCAAAUUGUCAGUACGCCGCAUCCGAAGUGAUAAUGGAACCGAAUUUACCAAUCACAUCUUAAACAGUUUCUUGGUUUCAAAGGGUAUCAGUCAUAACUUCUAAGCUCCCUACACACCGCAGCAAAAUGGGGUAGUAGAGCGAAGAAACCGAACUCUGGUAAAAGCAAUCAGAUCUAUGCUUAACUUCGCACACCUUCCUCUCUACUUCUGGGCCGAAGCAGUGGCCACAACAUGCUUUUUUCAAAACCGAAGCAUCGUUUGCAAGCGUCUCAGUAAAACUUCUUAUGAGGGCCUUAACAACCGCAAACCAAAUGUCUGUUUCUUCCACAUAUUUGGGUGUAGAUAUUUUGUGAUCAACAAUAGAGGUCAUCUUAAAAAUUUCGCACCAAAGUCUGAUGAAGGCAUUUUCCUUGGAUACUCAACAAACAAAGUAGCGUAUAGGGUUCUCAUUAGAUGCACAAGACUAAUAAUCGAAAGCUUCGACGUCAAAUUUCAUGAUUAUUACGUCCGCAACAUAGCUCCAUAUCCCAAAAGCAAUGCAAUCCUGGAAAGUGAUAUUCCCGUCUCCUCGGGUCCAUUAAACUUAGUUGAAGUAAACUAUGAUGAUCUCUUUGACCUGGUAGAGACCGCUAAGUAAUCCGGAGAUCUUAUGUCCUCGGAAGCACAACAGCAGCAUGCCGAUGUAUCCGGUCUAUCUCUAUCCGAUGAAGUAUCAUUCAGUACUUCCACCUCGUCGGGUGAGGGGUAAAACUCCACUCCGGAUCAAGAAACAACCAUCAAGGUUCUAGUACUUGAUGUUGUAGCUCCAGUUUCUAUCCACAGAGGAUCUCUACCAUCAGAUGUUUCUUCUGACUCAGAUGAUGAGAAUAUAGAAAACAUUGAUACAAGAACUAACCCAAGGGUUAUCAUACUUCCAACAAUCCAGGGGGAACCUUCUCAGGUUAAAGAGGAACUCUCGUCCGUAAUCCAGGGGGAACUUCAAUUAGAAGAAAACUCUAAUCCCACCUUCCCAACUCCAGACAAUCCAGCGAUCUGCUCACAAGUCCAAGGGGAACUAUCAUCCCCAACUAAAGAAUUUGUAGAUAUUGAAGACAUCCCAUCAACCCCGUCUACACGUAUGGACGAAGGAUCACCCACCAGGUCAAAUUAUCAAAAACCCAUUAGCAGGCAUCCAAACUCGAUCCUCACAAGACUUAUCUAAUCACUUUCACUUUGCUGCAUUUAUGUAUUUAGUCGAGCCUCGAACCAUCAAAAAAGCGUUAAUGGAGACCGAUUGGAUUAUAGCAAUGGAAGAAGAACUAGAUGAGUUUAAAAGAAACAAAGUGUGGCAACUCGUUCCGAAGCCAAAAGGUCACACUAUUGUUGGUACCAGAUGGGUGUAUAAGAACAAAUUGGAUGAAUCUGGUGCAUUAGUAAGAAACAAAGCAUGACUAGUCACCAAGGUGUAUAGUCAACUUGAAGGUAUUGACUAUGAUGAAACAUACGCCCCUGUAGCACGAAUGGAAGCCAUCCGCGUCUUCUUAGCAUACGCAACCCACAAGAAAAUUAGAGUAUAUCAAAUGGAUGCGAAGAGUACUUUUCUCAACGGUGAAUUGAAAGAAGAUGUUUAUCUUUAGCAACCUCCUGGCUUCGAAAGUGUUGAAUUUCCAGACCAAUGUUAUAAGCUUAAGAAAGCGAUCUACGAUCUAAAGCAAGCUCCAAGAGCAUGGUACGAGACUCUCUCUAAAUUUCUUGUCUCAUCCGGAUACAAAAGAGGAGUGAUUGAUCCCAUUUUAUUUAGAAAGGAAAAUGGUAAUCACCUUAUGCUUGUACAAAUUUAUGUGGAUGAUAUCAUGUUCGGAUCAACACAUCAGGGGAUGGUAGAUGAAUUUUCAAAGAUCAUGACCAACAAAUUCCAAAUGAGCAUGCAUAGAGAGAUUAAUUUCUUUCUAGGACUUCAAGUGAAACAAGUCCCUCAAGGGAUAUUCAUCCAUCUAAAGAAAUACACCACUGAACUACUAAAGAAAUACUCAAUGGAAAACUGUUCCUCUGCUAAAGUCCCAAUGGCCUUUCGAUAUAAGAUUUCUGUUGAUCCUUCCGGAGAAUUAGUAGAUCUCAAAACUUAUAGAGAAAUAAUUGGCUCACUGAUGUACCUUACUGCAAGCCAACUAGACAUUGUCUUUGCAACAGGAGUAUGCGCAAGAUACCAAGCCGAUCCGAAAGUAUCUCAUAUGACCGCAGCCAAGCAGAUUCUCAGGUACUUAAAGGUCAACAAGUCUCUAGGCCUCUGGUAUCAUGCAGGGAAUGAUUUCAGCCUACAAGCAUUUACUGAUGCGGAUCAUGCUGGAUGUAGAUUGGAUAGAAAAAGUACUUCCAGUGGAUGUCAGUUUCUAGGUGGAAGACUCAUCAGCUGGUCAUCAAGGAAACACAACUGUGUCCCACUAUCUACUGCUUAAGUUGAAUAUGUGCCAACUGCCAGUUGUUGCUCACAAGUGUUAUAGAUGAAAACACAACUUAUGGACUACAGAUAUAGGAUGCUGCGGAUACCGAUUUACUGUGACUCAGAGAGUGCCAUAGCAAUUUCUCAUAAUCCUAUUCACCACUCUAAGAUGAAGCAUAUUGAACUACGGUACCAUUUCAUUAAAGACCACAUUCUGAAAGGUAACAUUAAACUAAUUUUAGUUCAUACUCAUGAAGAGAUUGUUGAUGUAUUCACAGAGGCACUUGACUCUACAAAACUCAACAGUUUCUUACAAAUUUUAGGAAUGAUGAAUGCAGACCCGCAAUUCUUCUUGAAUUGAUAGGUACCGCAGACCAGUCAUGGUCGCCAUUGCGGUCCUAACUAAAUAUAUCUAUCUUAUAUAGUUUCAGUGUAUCUUGUGUACUUCAAUACAUUUAAUGUACUACAAUACAUUUAAUGUACCACAAUAUACUAAAUAUAUACCGCAACCAUAUAUCAUACCUAUAUUUUAAGGGUCCUUGAUUGAUUGUUAUUUCUGAUUUUGGUUCAAGUGUUCUUCUCAGUUACCUUUACCGUAGUCAUCUAACACUUCAUUCGCAAUGAAGUCUUAAUCCGUAAUAAAGUCUCAAUCAGCAAUGAAGUCUCAAUCCUCAAUGAAGUCCUAAUCCGCAAUGAAGACUCAAACCACAAUCUCGAUGAUGGAACUCUCAUCCACUUCAUAAAUUCUUGAAACACUGUGUGCUAUUUAAUGAUUCUUCAUUAAAUAAAAAAAAUAUUCUCAUAAUAUUUGUUUUGUAGCAUAUGAUCGUUUCAGUUCUGCUUUUCAAAUAAACCUUUUGUCAGACAUAUUUUAGGUGUAAUGCAAAAAUAAAACAGUUUCCAAUAAAAGAAAUCUUUUUAGAAAAUCUUUUCCUUAAACUUUCUUUUCCUCUUACCCCCAAAAUGUCAAAUCCGUUACAAAUUCCACCUUUAUACAACCGAUUAUCGCCCCUCACCACACGUCCUUACUGGGAUCAACCUCCUGGUGCAUCCCUCGACCAAGUUCUUCUCACCAAGUAUCACAGACAUCACAUCCACGUUGUAUCAAAUGGGAUACCUAAAGCAGAUUAAAGGUACUAUAGAAUUCAAAAAGAAUCAAUUGCCUACGGUAUUGCAGUUUGUAUACCAUUUCGUAAUCCACAGUUUAUCUGGUAGAAUCGGAGGCACGGAUAACAUGGGUGUCAAGCUACUCGAGAUUGUAUGGUGUAUCUGUUGGAUAUAGUGUCUAAGUCCAUAAGUAUAUUUGGUAUAUACUUGACCCGACCCGGCAUGGUCCAUUUGGGUUGCACUUCACCCGAACAAUUUAUGGAUAAUAUUGGAGAAUAGUACAAGUUAUGAUUUAUUAAUAUAUUAUAAGUUCUAAUAUAUUAAUAUAAGAUCAUAUUAUUUAAUUAGUAGUGAUCUAUAAUUAAUCUAGGAUUAAUUUAGUGAUCAAAGAUAUUACUAAUUAAAUAUGGGCUUCUAUAUUUAUAUAGUGUGGGCUUAUGCUUAUUUGGAAUGGGCUAGGCUUGGAUGGAGAAGUCCAUGGAUACUCCAUGGAGCUUUGACCCAUGGAUCUCAUGGAAAUGAAGAGACAUGGGUAUUAGGGUUUAUAUGGAUGUAACCCUAAUCCACCAAACUAUAUAAAGGAGGCUUUGGCUCUUGAAAUCAUGCUAGUUGACUCAUGUUGAGGUGAGGCCCGAUUUCAAGAGAAGUGUGACUAUUCUCUCAAAGUUCCAAGUUUGUGGUGAUUUGUGACUUUCAUUUGAGGCAUCCACAUUAUUGGUGCUAGGCUCUAAAACUCCAAGGAAUCAACUACAACUACAAGGUAAGUGUUUCUACUAGCUUUAUUUGAUUCAAGUUCCCCAUGCCAUGCUAGUUAGGAUAUAAGCCUUGGAAAAAUAAUUAUUUGCAUGUAUCUUAGACAAACAUAGAUCCAAGGUUUAUUAGGGUUGCAUGUACACUUAGGAAGUGUUAGAAUGCUCAAAACCCAUCAGUGGUAUCAGAGCCUAGGCUUGUUUGUUUGAUACUUGUUGCAAUAUGCUUGAAAAAGUCGAAAUCUUGCUGUCUGACUGAUGGACUCGCCGAGUCCAUGGGGGGACUCGCCGAGUCCACUUGUAUCUUCAACCUACUCGCCGAGUAGGUUCAUGCACUCGACGAGUAGGGUCGACAGAGUGCAGUUUUUCGACUUUAGUUGCUGGAAAUGGAUUAGAAACAUUACCCUAAACUGUUUUGGUACUUGAAAACUUGUUUUAGAAGGUGUAAUGUCUUUUCUAACUCAUUUACAACAACUAGUUAUCAAAAUUACAAAGAUUAAGUGUGAUUUUGAUAUAUGAAAGUGUUCAUGUUCAUGAUCUUGUUCUUAUGAUGUUUAGAUGAUCAUAGGAAUUAUUUGUAACCUAUGUGGUAGAUUAAUUCAUGAUCAUAAUGUGUUUUAAUGGAGUCCAUAACUUGUCCUCAAGUUAUGGAAAACCAAAAGUCUCUUGGAUUAAAAACCAUUAAAAGAACACAAGAGUUAGGAAAAAUGAAAAGUCCUCAUUUUAUUACUCUAUUAAACUCAUAAGUUACAAGAAAUGAAAAGUUUUGAAAGUUUACAAAACUUGCCCUCAAGUUUUGGAACAAGUAAAGUUAAGUUAAAACUUUAGUUCCAACCCCUAGAAUUUUAAAAGUUAAAAUUCAACCCUUAUACUUAUAUUAUUAUGAUUUAAUAAUUAUAUAUAUAUGUAUAAGAACAAAGUCGUCUUACCGCUAGUACGCCUCAUUCACGAAGCCGGUCUAUAAGGUGGGUAUAAGGUUGUUGCCUAUAAAAUGGUGACUUAAUGGGUGUCCACUCUCACCCACCGCUUGCUUGAUCGGUGGAGGGUCGUUAGCCGAACGGGUAAGACAAGGACUUAUUAAUUCUCAUUCAAAGUAUGAUGAAUAUUAUAAAGUAACUAAAUGUUUUAUUAAAUUCCCAAUCUUAGUUACUUUAGGAAAAAUGUGAAUAAGGUGCUAUUCCAUGAAAUU